UUGGCUUACACUGAGCUCUUCUUUGCUCAAGAGCUCUGGCCUGAUUUUGGGAGGAACGGUUUUGUUGAAGCAUUGAUGUCGUUUCAGCAGAGACAGCGACGCUUCGGUGGUCGAAAAUCUUGAGUUUCUUUUUUUUUUUGCAACGAAUAAAUUGGUGUAAUAAAAAACUGUAUAUGAUGUGUAAUAAAGGACGUUUUAUACCUCAAGAACUAGGUGUUGACAUUUUGGCUUGACCUCUAACUCUCGUCCAGCUCCCUCACUGUGUUAUCAAGGAUAUUGAGAACCAGAGAGCAAGAACUUAAAAUGUAUGUAUAUAAGAUUAAUGGAAAUGUACAAGUGGAGUUUCCUUAUAUACAAGUAUACCGUAUAUAGAGAGCCUCUGUUUCUAUACAAGUAUUAGGCUCAGUAUACUCAAUACGCCCCUCUCAAGCCUCUGAAACGGAAGGUGGAAGUGAUGUAAUGGAAGGUGGAGGUGAUGAAAUAGAUGGUAGUGAUGGAGAGAAGAGGCUUGAUACUGACAUUCGAGCAAGGAUAUGAUGAAAAGGUGAUGGAUGAAGCGGUUUUGUGAAGAUAUCCGCAUGAUUGUCAGCACUGAUCACGUGAAUAAGCUUGAUGAAUCCCUUCUUAACCUGAUCACGUGUAGUAUGACAGUCAAUCUCAAUGUGUUUCGUUCGUUCAUGAAACACAGGGUUUGUGGCAAUGUGGAUCGCUGACUUGUUAUCACAGAAGAGUUUAGCAGUAUGCUGAACUUUGAUCUUCAAAUCCGUAAGCAGCUGCUGCAACCAGAUAAGCUCACAAGUCGCCAAAGCCAUACUCCGAUACUCUGCUUCGGUACUACUUCUGCUUACUGUCUGCUGCUUCUUACACUUCCAACUAAUCAGUGAUUUUCCAAGAUAAACGCAAAAUCCAGUAACAGAACGUCGAGUAUCCGGACAUGAAGCCCAAUCUGCAUCAACAAAGGCAUUCAAGAAGGUCUCUGAAUUAGUUGCAUAGAAAAGACCUUGACCUGGAUUAGACUUCAGAUAUCGGAGGAUCCGUUGAGCAGCCUGAUAGUGUACAUCAGUAGGAGCCGAGAGAUAUUGACUCAGACGAUGCACAGCAUAUGUUAUAUCAGGACGAGUUAUCGUGAGGUAUAGUAACCGUCCUUCUAGCUCACGAUAAGAUGUAACAUCAGUCAACAAAACACCAGUAGUAGCACUCAUAGGAAUGGAAGGAUCCAUAGGCACGGCACAUGGUUUCGAAGCAAGUAGGCCUGUAUCAGCAAGAAGAUCCAAAGUAUACUUUCGCUGAGAAACAGAAAUACCCGUAGAGUUCCGUGCUAUCUCAAGACCAAGAAAGAACCGAGCUUGACCCAUGUCUUUGAUCUUGAACGCUUGAUGAAGAAUCUUCUUUACAUCAAGAACAGCUUGAGGAUCAUUGCUGGUGAUUAGAAUAUCAUCAACGUAGACAAGCAAUGCAAUGAAAGACGAUCCAGAGGUCUUCACAAAAAGAGAGUGAUCACCCGGAGAAGGUGAGAAACCAUUAGCUAGGAGGACUGAAGAGAAACAGUUAUACCAUUGCCUAGAUGCCUGCUUAAGGCCAUAAAGUGACUUGUGAAGAUGGCAAACCGGGCUUGGAGGCAAAACAACGCCAGGGGGAGGUGUAUAGCCCAAAGGUAAGCUCAUAUAUAUUUCUUCAUCAAGUUCACUGUGCAAAAAGGCGUUAGUAACAUCCAUUUGAUCCAAACUCCAUCCAUGCGAAGCAGCAAGACUAAGAAAAAGCUUCACGCUAGUCAUUUUCGCAACAGGAGAGAAAGUAUCUGUAUAAUCCAGCCCUUCUUGCUGUGUAUACCCUUUGGCAACAAGACGUGCUUUAGGUCUCUCCACCGUGCCAUCAGCAUGAUACUUGAUCGUAUAGAUCCAUCUGCAACCCACAACAUUUUUACCCGGGGGCAGAGAAACAACAGAGAAAGUCUUAUUACGUUCCAUUCCCUCAAACUCCACAUUCAUCGCUUGUGUCCAGAACUUAGACUUCACGGCUUACUUAAAAGAUGUAGGUACUGUCUCAAGGGAACAUGUAAGAACAGCAUCUUUGUAGGAAAAAGAAAUGUUAUCAUAAGAAAGGACAGAGGAGAGAGGAUAAAGUGGUUCAGGGGAAGGUGAUGAAAUAAUAUUGGCAACGUAAUGAUUUUGUAAAGAGGAAUCCAUAGAGAUCAAAUAACAAUGAUAAUCAGAGAGAUAAGUGGGUGCCUUACCUGCUCGUUUUGGCCUAGCUCUGUCAAGUUCAGUAGCGGAAGUUCCAGAAGCCACAGCAUCUCCAGUCACAGGAACACUCGGAGGAACCGAUGUGAAUGCAGAAGAUGAUGUGGAAGAUGAUGCAUGAGAAUGCACAGGAAUAUCAUGAAUGAUAGAAUCAAGUUCAACAGGAACAGGUAAAGGCAAUAUUGAUCUAGAGAAGACAUUUUCAGGCUGAGAAUCACUAUCAAGUUUCAUAAAAGGAAAGUCAGUCUCAUGAAAAAGAACAUUACGUGUAAUGGAAACAGUUCUAGUUUCAAGAUUCAGAACUUUGUAACCUUUGAUUCCUGAUGGAUAACCUAAGAACACACAAGACUCAGCUCUUGGAGAAAAUUUAUGACGAUCCUUUUGUAAAGUUGAUGCGUAACACAAACACCCAAAAGACUUAAGAAAAUUGUAAUCAGGUUUCUUUCCUGUAAGCUUCUCAUAUGGUGAAAUCUUGUUUAAAAGUAAAGAGGUGUUCUAUUAAUCAAGAAAACUGCUGUAAGAACACAGUCACUCCAAUAUUGUAAAGGGAUUCGAGAUUGAAACAUUAAAGCACGAGAUACAUUCAAAAGAUGUUGAUGCUUACGCUCAACAACAGAGUUCUGUUGAGGAGUAUAAGCACAUGAAAAUUGAUGUAAGAUACCAUGCUCUCUUAUCAGAUUAGAAAACACAAGUUCUUGAGCAUUAUCGCUUCGUAUCAUUUUAAUAUUGGCCUUAUACUGAUUACGCACAAGAGUAACAAAGGAAGGCAAGAUAACAGAAACAUCACUUUUAUAUUUCAUCAUAUAGAUCCAGGUUACACGAGUAUGAUCAUCUACAAUUGUAAGAAAAUACUUGUAACCAUCAACAGACUCAACACAAAAGGGACCCCAAGUAUCUAUAUGAAUAAGAUCAAAUGGUUCUGCAGACAUGUUAUUCUUAUGUGGAAACGGAAGACGACGUUGUUUAGCUAAGGGACACACGGUACAACUAGGAGACUCAAGAAUAGAGGACUUAUCUAAAGCAAUAUCAGCAGAGAGAUGUUGUAACUUGGCAGAAGAUGGAUGUCCGAGACGUUGAUGCCAAAGAAAACCAUCGACCUUCAAGGAUCCACAGAAGUUCAACGACGGAGAAUGAUUAUGUUGAUCAAGAAUGUAUAGACUGUGAAUCACAGAACCUCUACCAAUCAUCAAGCCCUGAGUAUGCUCCUGUAUUUGACAAGAAUCAUAGAAAAAAUGAGCAGAAUGACGAUGUUUUUGUAACAAGCUACUUACACUGAUGAGAUUAAAACGGAAAGAAGGCACAUGUAAGACAUUAUGCAAAACAAGAGUGUCAGACAAAUGCACUAUGCCAGUAUGAGUGAUCGGUUCCUUCGUUCCAUUUGGAAGAGAAACUGUGACCCCUGAAACAAGAGAAACUGAACUAAACAUAGCUAAGUCAGAACAAACAUGUGUAGUCGCUCCACUAUCUAUUAUCCAAGAACCCAAAGGCAAAUGUGUAGAUAAAGAUGAAAGUGUUUGGUGUUGGAAAGUCAAAGAAUGAUGUUCAAAACGAAGGCUGGUGGAAGGAAAAGGAAAGGUAUGUGAGACAGUACCACUUGAAGAUUGAGCAGCCAUGAAACCAGUAUCUGUUAUUGACGCAUUAACUGAUGACUGUGAAAUAACAGGUUCAGGAGGUCGUAGAUGAGACUGUAACUGUUGAAUGAGUUGAUGAACUUGAUCAGGAUGAAAAGCAUUGAGAUUCAGAUUUCCUGCAGGAGAAGCAACCGAAGAACCAGUCGUGACAUUAGCAACAUUAUUCUGCUGUGAAAGCGGUUGCGCAGGCCUGGAUUGAGAUGAUCUUUGCAAAGAACCAGUCUGAGUAUUAGAACGCUGAGAAUUGCUAUUAUAGAACCUAUGUCCAGGAGGAUAUCCAUGCAAUUUGAAGCACUUCUGCACGAUAUGACCUGCCAUACCACAAUGAGUGCAGAUAGGUCGUGGCCUGGAACGAUAGUUGUUGUUGUUCACAGCAGCAUAGGCAGCAUUCUCAACAGGUCCAUUGUACGUAGACUGACCAAGUUCGCUCGUUGAGUUCUGGAAAACAACGUUAUCAACCCGUGUAGAUGGUUUGAUGUUCUUUUGACGUUCAUCUUGAGUAACCAAGUUGAAAACUUCUUCAAUCGGGGGAAGAGGCUUGAUCAUCAAGAUGUGACGCCUAGUAGAUUCAUAAGACUCGCUCAAACCCAUCAAGAACUUCAUAACACGACUCCUUUGUUGCAAUUGUUCCCAAGACGAAGCCGCAUGACACUCACAUUUGCCACACGUACAUAUAGGGAGAUCUACAUAGUUUUGAUACUCCUCCCAAAGAGUAACCAACUCUGUAUAGUAAGUACUAAUGUCUAACGAGCCUUGCUGAAUAGUGCUGAGACGUUGUUCAAUCUCAAAGAUGCGAGGAGCAUCGUCCUACUUGAAACGAGUCAUGAGAUUCUUCCAAAUACUCUCAGCCGUAGACAUGAAUAGCAAGCUCUGACCUAUCUUCUUGGAAACCGAGUUCAUCAACCAAGUAGAGACCAUAUCAUUGCACCUAGACCAAGAACCAAAAUCUCUAUGGUCAGCAGGAGGUUUAAAGAUUGUACCAUCAAUGAAUCCAAGUUUGUUGCGGACGUUGAGCGCCAUACGAACAGAGCGACGCCAUGAAUGAAAGUCAGCUCCAGAGGCAAGACGAUCCGAAACAAGUGCCAAGCCGGCAUGGUCCGAGUUGUGCAGAUAGUAAGGGUUCUCGUACAGAUCCACAAUCGAACGAGAAGAAUCGCCAGUAGUCAUCGGAUGAAAUCAAGAAACGGACUAAGACGGUGACGAUGCGAAAUCGGAGUUAACGGUGACGGUGAGGAGUUGAGCUGAAUCGAAAACACGAACAAAGAGAGGUGACGGUAGCGAUGCGAAUCGGAGCUCGACGAAGUCGAAUCGAAGCUCAGAAGCAUGCAAGACGAGUCACGAAAACGAGAUAGACGAAAACGAUUAGAUCCAGAACACACAGCACCAUCGUCAGCAGGAGGUUUUAAGAUUGUACCAUCAAUGAAUCCAAGUUUGUUGCGGACGUUGAGCGCCAUACGAACAGAGCGACGCCAUGAAUGAAAGUCAGCUCCAGAGGCAAGACGAUCCGAAACAAGUGCCAAGCCGGCAUGGUCCGAGUUGUGCAGAUAGUAAGGGUUCUCGUACAGAUCCACAAUCGAACGAGAAGAAUCGCCAGUAGUCAUCGGAUGAAAUCAAGAAACGGACUAAGACGGUGACGAUGCGAAAUCGGAGUUAACGGUGACGGUGAGGAGUUGAGCUGAAUCGAAAACACGAACAAAGAGAGGUGACGGUAGCGAUGCAAAUCGGAGCUCGACGAAGUCGAAUCGAAGCUCAGAAGCAUGCAAGACGAGUCACGAAAACGAGAUAGACGAAAACGAUUAGAUCCAGAACACACAGCACCAUCGAGAUGACGAAAUCGAAGAAGAGAUGAGAAAUCGAAGCACUCAUGAUGUGAAUCGAAGCUCAAGAAUGAAGAAAAAUGGCGGAAAAGUUGUUAUGCUCUGAUACCAUAUCAAGGAUAUUGAGAACCAGAGAGCAAGAACUUAAAAUGUAUGUAUAUAAGAUUAAUGAGAAUGUACAAGUGGAGUUUCCUUAUAUACAAGUAUACCGUAUAUAGAGAGCCUCUGUUUCUAUACAAGUAUUAGGCUCAGUAUACUCAAUAAGUGUUUUAUUUCUUUUUUGAACACUCUCUGUUUUUGUUCUUUCUUUUAUCUCUGUUUUACUUCUUACGUCUUUUUAUUCUUUACUUGUGUUUCAUCAUAGCACAAACACACACUCUUUUUACUCUCUUGUUUCUUUGUGCUGGUAGAGAGAAAAUAGAACACUUUUAUGUCUACACUGUUAACAUUUUUUCCAACUCUUUUCUGUUAGAAUUGGAUACAAUACAACAUUACUUUCACAUACAUAUUUAUAGUAGACUUCUACUUACUACACUUACACAUUGGUUAUACAACUCUUCUAAUCUAUGUCCCUAAGAGACUAGACUACUCUUACAAGCAAUUCUUACUUUAGUCAUCAACCAUUCUAACAAUUCUUACAACUCUAACUAAACAACUUAACUUGGUUAGCCUUGUACCAAACUAAUACCAAUUCUUCUUAUUAGUGUGCAACUUCUAGUUACACAAACCAACCUUGUCAUUGACUUCUUGUUGUCAAUGUUGGUUUUCCCUUCUUCUUCCUUUGUUUCUUGUGCUUUUUCUUCUUCUCGCUGAUUCUUCGUUAUUUUCUUUUAUAGGACUUAAUCAAAGGUUCAAUCUCAACACUAGACCUUUUUUAGAUAUCCCACUCUUUACUAACAAACUAGAUUAAGACAUGCGCCUUGCGCGAGAUGAACAUUAUAUAUAUAAAUUAUUUUAUGUAUUAUAUGUUUUUACAUAUUAUGAAAUAAUGAAUAUAUAUUGAAUAAUUAAAAGUCAAUAACUAUUACAUAUAUAAUUAAAUUGAUGCGAACAUAUCAAUCAAUUUUAUUAAUCCUAAAAUAUUUUUUUUUUCUAUUUGAUAGGAUAUAUAAUUAAAAUUAAAUGAUAUUUACAUACAUAGUAUAUUUUUAAUAUUAAUGUUUAUUAAAUAAUGAUAUCUACUCAUAUGAUUUUUUUGAUCAUUUGUAUCUUUUAUAGCAAAAAUUUUAAAUUACAAAAUUUUCACUGUAGGAUUAAUAGUUUUAAUAAUUUAUAUUUUUUUUUUAAAUUAGAUUUCCAAUGUUUGUUCAAAGCUUUUAUCAAAAAAAAAAUGUUCAAAGUAAAUUUCAAAAUUAAAAUAUUUAUGUAUUUUACAAAUCUUUAUUAUUCAAAAUUAUUAAUUGUCAUAUAUAUUUUAGCCACAUUAUGUAAUUUCGUAACCUUUAUUUAAGGAAAUAAUAAAAAACAUUAAUAAUGAAUUUAUGGUUAGUUUAAUAAAAAAUAUAUUAUAUAAUUAGAUGGACCAACCUAUCCCCUAUAUCUUAAUCUUUGAGCAUCACAACAUGUUUUCGUAACCACGUGUCAUCACGAAGAUGAUUCUUAGAAUUCUUAGAAAAAUAAGUUGGUCCAUAAAAACUUAUACUAUGUUUUUUUGUUAAAUUAACUAUCAAAUUAAUUAUUAGUGCACCAAAUAAUAUUUUUUCUUUCCUUAAAUAAAAGCUACGGAAUUACCUAAUAUGGUUAACAUAUAUAUGACAAUUAAUGAUUAUGAAUAAUACAUAUUUGAUAACAAUUUUUGUAUCCUCUCUUUUAUUUGUUUAAUUUUAUAUUAUUAAAAUAAAUUAAACAAUCACAUUAAAGAUAUAAUAAAAUAUUUAGAUUUUUUCUUAUAUGUUAUAUUUAAAAUUUUUUAAAACGACUAUAAAUUACUAAAAACGGUAAAAGUUCACAUUGAAAAUUUUGUGAUCAAUAGUUUAACUUUUUUUUUUGUUCAAGCAAGAUAAAAAUGAUCAUAUAUCGUAGGGGUGAGCGUUCAGAUACGCGUUCGGGUUGGUAUCGGGUAUUUACGGUUUUUGGGUAUUUCAGUAUAAAGGUAUAGAACCUGUUCGGGUAUUUCUACACUUCAGAUCCGGUUCGGGUAUUUAUGUUUGGUUUCGGAUAUAUAAAUUUUGAAGAAAAAUAAAAUAAAUUAUUCAUUGUUUAAAUUUUUUUUUUAUUUAAAAUAAAUUUUUAACUUAACUGGUUUUAUAAUUUUCAAAAGAUUAAAAUUUUAAGAGGUUUGAAGAUAAAACUUUAAGAAUAUAAAACCACUAAUUUAGUUGUUGUUUUGUAAUUUUUGAUGCAAGUUUUGUUAAUGCAAGAAACAAGAGUUUGAUAUGUAUUUUAAGUGAGUAGCAAAUGAUUUUAUCCAUAAUUAUAUGUAUAUUAUCUAAUUUUGAGCAAAGUGCAUCAUUAAUAUAAAUAUUCUGAUUAAAAUGAGAGGAAUAAAGUAGAAAUAUAAGGUUAAGUAUACUUAUGUUUGGUUAUCUUCGGAUAUCAUUCGGGUUUGGAUAUUACCCGUUUGGGUUUGGAUAUCCAAUCUCUGCGAAUUCAAUAACCGUUCGGUAUUUUGCUACUACGGUUCGGAUUUUCGGAUCGGAUUCAGAUACGGGUUCAGGUAUCGGAUAAAAUGACCAACCCUAAUAAAUCGUAUAAAUAUGAAGUUUCAUUAAUAGAUAUUCAUAUUAUAUAUCUAUAUUUUAAUAUUAUUUGAAAUAAAUUAUGUACUAUAUACAAAUAUAUAAAUAUGUUAAUUUUAAAAUUUCCAGUGAAAAAUUAUUGAGAUCUUAAUAUUUUAAUUUUAAAAUUUGUAUUAAAAAAUCUCACAUUAAUUUUUUUUUGAUUAAUGGUUUAAAUUUUUGCUGCAGCAAAUAUACAAAUAUUAAAAAAAAAUAUGAGUAGGAAGUGUCAAUAAUAAAUAUUUACAUUAAAAUAUACUAUAUAUCUUUGUCAAUAUCAAUAAAUUUUAAUUUAUAUCAUAUAAAGUAAAUAAAAUGAUUUUUUUAAUUUAUUUACCAAAAACGUGAUUGUAAAUUAACAAAAUGUAUUGGUUUUAAUUUAUGUGAUUACUCUAAUGUAUAUACUUUUAUGUAUAUAAAUUUACUUUUUAAAUAGGUAGUUUCUCAUAUCUUAUUUCAUCCUGAGAAUCCGAGAAACGCACUUCUUCAAAUCGAAGUGAUUUUUAAUAUUGGAAGCACUAUAUAUAUAAAUAGAUAUUAUUUCAUUUAGAUUAAAUAAUUUAGUCUUGAUUUUUAUUCCUUAAAUUUUUUAAUGAAAUAUCAUGACAAGAUUCCAAUCACCUUCUUUUGAGUUUGUUCGAAGAAUGAGAGAUUUGAUCAUUCGUCUAAUAUUGUUUGUCCCUAAUAUCCUAUCUAACUGUUAUAAUUGUAAGAAUGAGAGAUUUGACUAGGCUUAUAAAAUAAGUAAUUUGUUUUGUUGUUCGAGAAUUAUAUCAUUUUUAGACCAAACUGGUGAACAUAUACUAGACAAACAUUUAUAUUUCACGUGUGCACUUAUAUUCUAUAAUAGCUUGAUAUAUUAGAUAAGAACACUAACCUGUUAAUAUAGCUUGCCGAUGAUUUUCUUCAAAAUUUUAAUUUUUAGAUAUGUAUCUUGAGUGAAAUUAAUUUUUACAGAUGUCCAUCUUUUUAUAUUCACACUUAUGUAAUUCACCGAAUUUAUAGAAGAAGUUAAAAAAAAACUAAACUCAUAUCAAUGCAACAAAGACGAGAACGAAGACAAAAUUUUAUAGAGGUAGAAAAUGAAAUCACUUAUGGAAAGUGAACAGUAAACAAAUCGAGAGCAGAAAACCUAAUCCUCUUUUGUCAUUAUUCAAUCAAUGUUUUCUAUUUGGUUUUGGUAAUUUGUAUCACCCACAAUAAUUUUUUUGUGUGCAUAUGAAGUCUUAAAAAUAAUUAAAAUAAUAUGUAAUACGUUAAUUCUUCAACAACGAUGAUACAUUUAAGAACCGACAUUUGUAUUCGUCAUUUUAUAAUCGAUAAAGAUUGUAGUGUUGCAAAAUGUUAAAACCAUUUAAUAAACAAGCAUUAUUAUAAAAACUCACCCCGCGCAUGCGCGCGGAUUAUCAUCUAGUUUCUCUAAUAAUUUUAAGAAUCAUCUUAGUGAUGAUAAGUGGCUACAAAAAGGGAUGAUCUUAUGCAUACAAAUAAGAAGGUUUUUCAAAAUUAAUAUAUAGGGGAUAACAAAUAAUACAUGCAUGUUAUAAAAAGAAAUGGAAUUUUAUAGAAUCGCAUGAAUUUAAAUAAAGCAAAAUCUUAUACCCGUAGGAGAAGAUAACACUGAUAGAGAGAGAAAGUUUCUUAUUAGAAGUAAGAAGAGAAGUUGAGGUGUGUUUUAUAAACGAUCGAAAUCGAUCGUUUAUAUAGAAGUUAAAAAGUAGGAUUUACUGUGCAAAUAGUGCAGCGGACCCCACAUCUUUUUACAUAUUCAACAAAGGUGCCUGCUUUUCGUAACACUCCCCCUUGGGGACCGGUGUCAAUAUCCAUUAUCGCUUAACAUCUUUGUUGCCUCGUUAAAAACCUUUCCAUGAAAAACCCAAUGGGAAAAACCAUAGUAAGGUAAAAAGAGUACAACUACGUAAGCUCCCCCUUGAAUGAACAAUCAUAGAUCCCUCUGAUGGCGCAUCCUAAUAUUAUGGAUGUGUUUUCCGAAUACCGAAGUCGGAAGUGAUUUUGUGAAGUGGCCAGCUUCAUUGUCGCAUGAUUGGACAUAUCUUACUUCAAUCUCUUUCUUCUUCACGAGCUCUUGAGUGUAUGAGAAGAACUUUGGAUGAAUAUGCUUCGUUCUAUCGCUUUUGAUAUAUCCGUCCUUUGUUUGAGCAACACAUGCUGCAUUAUCUUCAUAUAGAAUAGUUGGCUCUAUAUUUUCGUCAAUUCCACUGCUUGAACAGAUGUGUCGGCUUAUUGAUCUUAGCCAUACACAUUCUCUACUUACUUCAUGGAGUGCAAUGAUCUCAGCGUGAUUUGAAGAAGUAGCAACAAGUGUCUGCUUCUGAGAACGCCAAGAUAUGGCGGUGCCUCCAAUUGUAAAAACAUAUCCUGUCUGGGAUCGAGCUUUGUGUGGAUCUGACAAAUAACCUGCAUCUGUAAAACCAACCAUUUGACCUUUUGAACUUUUAUGAUAAAACAAGCCUAAAUCAAUGGUCCCUUGGAGGUAACGAAAAACAUGUUUGAUCCCAUUCCAAUGUCUUCGGGUUGGAGAUGAGCUGAAUCUUGCCAAAAGAUUCACAGCAAAUAAUAUAUCAGGCCGUGUACAAUUUACAAGGUACAUCAGCGCUCCAAUUGCACUUAGAUAUGGUACUUCCGGACCAAGUAUCUCUUCUUUCUCCUCAGAUGGUCGAAAUGGAUCACUUUCAAUAUUAAGUGACCUAACGACCAUCGGGGUGCUAAGAGGAGUUGAUUUAUCCAUGUUAAAUCGUUUCAACACUCUUUUAGUGUAUGUGGAUUGAUGCACAAAUAUACCAUUUUGUGAAUGUUCUAUUUGUAGGCCAAGACAAUACUGUGUCUGUCCAAGAUCUUUCAUCUCAAAUUCUCCUUUGAGAUAGUCUGAUGCCUUUUGUGUUUCCUUUUGAGUUCCGAUAAUGUUAAGAUCAUCAACAUAAACCGCGAUUAUUACAAAUCCGGAUAUUGUUUUCUUGAUAAAAACACAUGGGCAUAUAGGAUCAUUCACGUAUCCUUCUUUUAUUAGAUGAUCACUGAGACGAUUAUACCACAUACGUCCAGAUUGCUUUAACCCAUAUAAUGAUCUUUGCAAUUUUAUUGCACAUAACUCUUUAGGUUUGAAACUUAAUGCUUCUGGCAUUUUAAAUCCAUCAGGAACUUUCAUGUAGAUAUCAGUAUCUAAUGAUCCAUAUAGAUAAGCUCUAACAACAUCCAUGAGACGCAGCUCUAGAUUUUUAUCAGCUGCUAGACUCAUCAGGAAUCUAAACGUGAUUGCAUCCAUAACUGGAGAAUACGUUUCUUCAUAAUCGAUUCCAGGUCUUUGAGAAAAACCUUGAGCCACUAGACGAGCUUUGUAUCUCGUAACCUCAUUUUUCUCAUUUCGUUUUCGAACGAAAACCCAUUUGUACCCAACUGGUCUCACAUCUGCAGGUGUGAGCACAAUAGAUCCAAAUACUUCUCGUUUAUUAAGCGAAUCAAGUUCAGCUUGUAUUGCAUUUUUCCAUUGUUCCCAAUCAUGUCUCUUUUGACAUUCAUAGACAGAUUUUGGUUCUGGAUCAUCGAUUUCUUCAUUUAUUUCACUUGACACAAUAUAUGAGAAAGCAUCAUCAAGAUCAUUUUGUUCAUUUCUAUUCCAUAUCCUUCUAUUAUGGAUGUAGUUGAUAGAAAUUUCAUGAUUACUUUCCGACUCAUGAUGCUCAACUUUCUCAGUAUCCUCAUUAUUUGUUUCUUCCAAAAUACUUUCUGCUAUUUUAGAUGUGUCAUUUACCUUGACAUCCUUUUGUUUUCUAGGAUUUUUAUUCUUAGAACCAGCAGGUCUGCCACGCUGCAGGCGUGUUUUAGACUCUCGUGUAUCGUCCGCUUUUCCUUGCUCAUUUGAUAUUUUGAUACAAGCAGGAGCAUUCACGGCUGGUAUAUGAGAUUUAGUUACCGUCUUGGUAUCCGCAAAUGCAUCAGGUAGCUGAUUAGCUAUACUCUGUAAAUGCAUGAUUCGUCGAACUUCUAGUUCAGACUCUUUAGUAGGAGGGUCAAGAUAUAGUAAUGAAGGUACACUCCAUUUGAUGUCAUUUUCUACAUUUUUGUUUUCUCCCCCUAGAACUGGGAAUACUUUCUCAUCAAAAUGACAAUCGGCGAAACGUGCCGUAAAAACGUCACCAGUCUGUGGUUCUAGAUAUCGUAUAAUUGAUGGAGAAUCACAACCAACACAUAUUCCCAAUCUUCUUUGUGGUCCCAUCUUUGUACGUUGUGAUGGUGCUACAGGCACAUAUACCGCACAACCAAAGAUUCUAAAGUGGAAAAUGUUUGGUUCUCGACCAAACGCUAACUGUAGUGGGGAAUACUUAUGGUAUGCACUCGGUCUGAUCCGAAUGAGUGCUUCUGCAUGCAAAAUGGCAUGUCCCCAUACAGAGGUUGGAAGUUUUGAUCUCAUGAUCAAUGGUCUUGCAAUCAAUUGCAGACGCUUAAUUAAAGAUUCAGCCAAACCAUUUUGCGUAUGAACAUGAGCAACCGAAUGUUCAACUUCAAUUCACAUUACCAUACAAUAGUCAUUGAAUGCUUGGGAUGUGAAUUCACCAGCGUUGUCUAGUCUAACUCUUUUAAUAGUAUAAUCAGGAAACUGUGCUCGCAGUUUGAUUAUCUGAGUUAGAAAUCUCGCAAAUGCCACAUUUUGAGACGAUAAUAGACAAACGUGUGACCAUCUACUGGAUGCGUCAAUUAAUACCAUAAAAUAGUGGAAUGGUCCACAAGGUGGGUGUAUAGGUCCAUAUAUAUCGCCUUGAAUUCUUUCAAAGAACUUUGGUGAUUCUUUAUCGAUUUUGGUUGGCGAUGGCCUUACGAUCAAUUUUCCUAGAGAACAUACAAUACAUGUCAUUUUAUUCCCUUGAGAAAUCUCUUGGAUUUUCAGUGAAUGACCAUGUGAACUUUCUAUGAUUUUACGCAUCAUUGUAGUGCCUGGAUGGCCAAGGCGAUCAUGCCAUAAUGUGAACUCUUCUGGGUUCCGUUUUACUAAAAGAUUUGAUUCGAUCUCAUCGAUAUAAGUAUGAUGUAGUCCCGAAGGAAGUUCUGGAAACUUUUCUAAUAUGUGUUUUCUGCCACAUUUCUCAGAAGUUACAUACAUGUAUUUCUUUCCAUCCUCAGUUGCAGACUGAGUAUCAUAUCCGUGAAGAUAUAUGUCUUUAAAACUCAACAAAUUCCUUUUAGAACUUGGAGAAUAUAAAGCGUUAUUUAUGGAAAAUUUUGUUCCAUUCGGCAAAGUAAAGUUUGCUUUACCAGUUCCUUCAAUCACGUCUGCAGGACCUGAUAUUGUAUUGACGACAAUUCUUGUCGGUUUUAUAUCAGAGAAAUAUCUCUUUUGUUUCAGAAUAGUGUGCGUUGUUCCACUAUCUGGUAUGCAUAUUUCACGAAUCCGUUUCUUGGAUUUUGCUCCAUUAGCAUUAUGAUCCAUUUCUGAAAUUGUCAUAAAUAUAAAAGGAAACAUAAAAUUCAUUCAUAUAAGGAAAAAAACACAAUAAUUAUACAUUAAGGUGACGUUAAAAACAUCAUUAUUUGUUUAGCAGGAAAUGAAAUAAUUAUACAUGACAAUAUCGAAAACUAUUCAAUAGUCUUAUUAUAAGCAUUUCGGCUCUCUUCAGGAGUAAUUUAGUCCAGCUCAUUAGCGAAGUUGGAGGCAUCGAGGUACGAUGUCCCCUCAAAGUUUUCAGUGAGGUUCACUUCUUUAGCUUUGCCUUUCGUGGACUCUUGAUAUAACUUACAGAGAUGUGAAGGAGUACGACAGGUACGGGACCAAUGUCCUUUAUAGUCACAUCUGUAACACACUGUCUCACGCUUCUGGGUGGUAUCCUCUUGAGUUUCUUUACCCUUGGAAACUUGCCCGGGUCUAACCCACUUGUUAGAUCCCCUCCAUUUGGGAUUGUAAGUUUUUCCACGUUUGUUGUUGAAACGGCGGCCAUGACCUCGAUUGGCCUGGUUUCUCCUUUCCGAAUUUUCUAUCGCCGUAGCAUUCACUUCAGGGAAUGCUUUGGCUCCCGUAGGUCGGGAAUUGUGGUUUUUGAUCAAGAGCUCAUUGUUCUUUUCAGCUAACAUGAGCGCAACCAUCAAUUCAGAAAAUCUCGUGUACCCGCAUUUUCUGUAAAUUUCGGGCAAGAAGUGAAGCUGUUUGUGGAAAGUGAUAUAUGUUUUAUUCAUCAUUUCUGCCUCGGAGACAGGAUUACCACAAUACUUCAGGAGUGUAACUAUCCGCAGGACAGCGGAAUUGUAAUCCUUAACCUUCUGAAAAUCUUGGAACCUCAGAUUUUUCCACUCUUCUAGAGCGUGAGGAAGGUUGAUUUGUCUCUGGUUAUCGAACCUUUCUUUUAAAGUUUGCCACAGUUCAGCUGGGUCCUCGACGUUUGCAUAGUCGUGCGUUAGAUUUUCAGCUAAAUGCUUCUUCAGGAAGAUUAUCGCUUCGGCUAUAUGCUCGGGUGGUGAUUUGUUACCGAUUACAAUUGUUUCGGUUAUAUUUUUCAUCACCAGAUAUGGUUUCACGUUUGUGACCCAUCCGGCGUAAUUUUCGCCAGUUAUUUUUAAUGCCGGGAACUGGAGUUUCUCGAUGUUUGCCAUUUUGAAUUUCUAAAAGCACAUAAAUAAAAAUUAUUAGAACAUUAUUAAUAUUAAAAUGAACCGUUUACAUUAAUCAUGCAAGCAAUUACAAGGAGAAGCGAUGUAAAGAAAAUUAAACUGAUAUUCAUCUUAAAUUCACUCGGAGUAAAUUCUCCAACGAAUAAACCAUAAAUAGAAACACAAAUAAAAAUGGCACAUAAAAACAAAAGUGCGCGAAUCAUCUUUCUUGAAAUGGAAAAAUCGGAGGAGAGCGAUUUGAAAUUUUUGAGAGAAGAUGAAAUGUUUUGGAUGAGAAAAUGAAGUGAAAAUGAGUUGUAUUUAUAGAUGAAAAUCACUGUUCAUGACCGUUUGAGAAAGAGAAAAUUUUUGAAAAAUUUUCUUUGUGACCGUUGGUGAUAAAUCGAGUGCACCAAAAAUUAGUCUGAAAAUAUUGUAUUAAACAGUCAAUCAAAUCUAUAAAAUUUCAUAAAAAUUAAUAAAAGUAAAAAUUAUGGCAAUAAAUCAUGCGACGGCUCAGCCGGUCAAUGCAGAGUAAUAAAUUAUACGGCGGCUCGGCCGACCUAUUAACAAUAAAUAGAAUAUAAGGUGGCUCGGCCGACCAAUUAACAAUAAACAGAAUAUAAGGCGGCUCGGCCGACCAAUAAAUUAAUUAAAUUUUUAAUAAAUAAUAUAGGCGGUAUUCCGGCCAUUUUAACAUGAUAUAAAUAAUAGUAGAGGCGGUAUACCGACCAUUAUAACAGGGUAUAAAUGAUACAAAUAAAUUUUACCGAAUCGCAGAGUGAUCGUGCUGAUAACGUGUUAUAAAAAGAAAUGGAAUUUUAUGGAAUCGCAUGAAUUUAAAUAAAGCAAAAUCUUAUACCUGUAGAAGAAGAUAACACUGAUAGAGAGAGAAAGUUUCUUAUUAGAAGUAAGAAGAGAAGUUGAGGUGUGUUUUAUAAACGAUCGAUCGUUUAUAUAGAAGUUAAAAAGUAUGAUUUACUGUGCAAAUAGUGCAGCGGACCCCACAUCUUUUUAUAUAUUCAACAAAGGUGGCUGCUUUUCGUAACAAUGCAUACAAAUAAGAAAGUUUUUCAAUUAAUAUAGAGGGGAUAACAAAUGAUACAUGCAUACAAAUAAUAAUCAAAAAACAAGAGCACACAUCAAGCGUUUUCAAAUAGAUGUUUACUUAGCGACACAAAGUUACAACAGUGCAGUGAUCUCUGAAACAGACGUAAAGUAUUGCAAACAAACGCAAUUUAUUUGUGAGACAAGAAAUACAAAGUUUAUAUUCUUCGACCGAAUCGCCUCUGUCUUUGCUGAUACCAAGUAAAGGCAUCAAGAUACUCAGCGUUACCGAAGUCAGGCCAUAGAACGUUAGUAAAGUAGAGUUCAGAGUAAGCAGAUUGCCAUAAGAAGAAGUUACUGAUCCUUUGCUCUCCGCUAGUUCUGAUCAAUAGGUCAGGAUUUGGAAACUCACUACAGUUUGUCAUCAACUCUUUAUCCAUCAUUCCCUCGUCGAUGUCCUCUACUUGAAUCAGCCCGUUUUUCGCCUUUUUUGCUAGACUUUUGCACGCUUGCAAGAUAUCAAAUUUUCCACUAUAGUCUAUUGCUAUAAUGAGAUGCUUCCCUUCAUAGCUCUUUGUAGCCUCUUCUGUUUCUCUUAUCAAGCCUAGAAGUGACUGGGGGAUUUUUGUCCGGUUUCCGAUAAACGAGAUCUUCAUUUUUUCUCUAAACAAAGAAGAGAAUGACAAGGAAGAAAAGAAAAUAACAUCAGGGUGUUGACAUGACAACCGUUUCUGUUUAGUUUAAAGGUUUUUAAAAUGAAAAUUUUCAUAGUUCCAUACAGUUUUUCUCUACAUGAUGUUUUAAAAAAUAAUAAAGAUCAGUUUAUGGGUACCUUCGGAAGACAUGUCUCUCAGACCUUAAGUAUUCUUCAAACAUGAACAUCAGGCCGUUAACUUCAUCCUGAUCAAUGACAAGAAUAAAAUGAAUCAAAACGACAAACUCUUUCAAAUGUUUUCCAAAAGUUAAUUUUCCAUUAUCAUCCACACACCUCGGGUCUUGCCCAAUUUUCGGUGGAGAAAGCAAAGAGGGAGACAGUGUUUAUCCCCAUAGAAAAACAGUCCUUAACAUUCUCCAUUAGCUCCGGCCUUAUGACCUUUCGAUGUCCCUAGUCCUCGUUUCUUCGCCCAACGUCGGUUUCCGUCCAAUAUAAUCGCCACAUGCUUUGGCAGUCUCUUCUCUCCCAUUAUUGUACCACUACCAUUUAGUUAAGAACAAACAGAGUUUACAAUAUCACUGUUUUAUUUUUUUUUUCUUUUUAUCAUAUCAAUUCAAAUAACAAUUUAAACUUCAAUAUAAUUUGAUGAAGUCAGAUAUUAGAGUAAGACAUGUCACUUAUUUAAGGAUUUUAAGACCCUGAUUAACCUCAGUCUCUUAAUUGGGGUUCUUAGUUUUGGUUAGGAGAAGCUAAGAACCGUCUCUUAAAUAAGAGAUAUAAGAGCAACAUUAUCAAGACAUUUGAACACUUCUUAUGGGCGAUCCUUACCCAAUAUUGGCCCAAAAUUAAAUAUAAAGUCCAGUUAAAUGAAGGAGACGAUUUUUAGGUAAGAAGUUUUUUGACUUCGUUCUUCUGUCACGUGUCAUUCUAUGAUAUGUUUUGUGAAGCGAUAGAGGGUCUCGUCGUUUUGCUCUGGAUCUAUUCUCUUUGUCUCCCUCUUCUCUCUCUCUCUCUCUCGAGAUCCGUAGACGGCGAUUCGCUGGAAGUGAAGAAUCAUCGGUCCACAUCAAUCAAUCGUUUAAUCUCGGCAUCGAAUCUGCACCAGGUUCGUAUUACUCUCUCUCUCCGUCUCCCUCUUCUCUGUCUCUCUCUCUCUCGUAUCGAUUUUGUGGAUAUAAUUCUGGGAUUAUCGAUUAUGUGUUUCUAAUAUUUUGCAUGCUUUGGGUUUGAUCAAGGUCCGCGGAGUUUGGGUUUAGGGUUUCAUCGUCUCUUCCUUCUCUCGCUGUCGACGGGUACUUCCGCCGCCGUCGUCUAUUCUCGUCCAUCUCGCCUCUCUUCUUUCUCCGGUUGGAAACCAUCUCUGCCGCCGUCACCAACAGGUUUGUCUUCUUUCUCCGUCCUCCGUUAGCUAUAUAGAGGAAUCAUUUAAACAAAUAGAUUGGUGAUUUGCCUUUUGGUUGUAUAUGAUUGUAUAGUGAUCUGUUGGUUCGUGUUUCUGAUGGACUUUCGUUUACCGAUGAAUAUGAUUGUAUAGUGAUCUGUGUUUUUGAUUGUAAAGCAGAGGUUUUUUAGUGAAUUUUUCGUAUACUUGAUUGAUUAGGGAACUUUAGUUAAAAAGAUAUGCUUGAUUGAUUAGUGAACUUUAGUUAAAAAAAUAUGCUUGAUUGAUUAGUGAACUGAAUUUUGAGUUCUAUACUUGAUUGAUUAGUGAACUGAAUUUUGAUUGUAUAGUUGAUGGAGAGCCACGUUAUAUGUUGUGAUCUAUACUGAAUUUUGAUUCUAUACUUGUUGUUUUAGAUACAUUGGAUUCAUCAUUGACAUGUGUUGUUUUAGUUGGUGUGUAAAUUGAAGUAAGUAGGUUUUGACAUUUAAUGAAAACGUUGUACUGACUUUUUUACUUAGUUUGGUUUCGAAGGAGUGUACUUGGCAAAGUUUUGUAGUUAGUUUGCUUGGUUUUGUAGUUAGUUUCGAAAGAGUAAUAAAUAUUGAUUAGUUAUGUGUAAGUAUAAGUAACUAAUGUGUAUCAUAUUUACUUACUUGUUUGCUUUGAUUCUUUAUUUUCCGAGUAAUAAAUAUUGAUUAGACCCUGGUAGUUGAUUGUUAGAGAAACAUUUAAGCUCUCUGAUGGUUGUUCUCUAAAAUUUCUUUAAAUAGCUGCAACAAGUUUAAUUCUUGUUGUGGUUAUCCCUUACUCUCUUCUUUCUCUCACGUAUCUUUCUUUUCUAUUCCUGUCCUUCUAAUCGAAAUGGAUUCAAGGAAUCCAUUGAAUCCCUAUAGUGAGUCCCCUAGUUAUAGCUAUCUUCUCCAUAGCCAAAACUUUCAGUAUGGAAGUUAUCCUUCUACUCAGUAUCCAUCCGAGAUACCUCCUUAUAGUUCACAACAACCUGACGGUCCACCUGAACGUGAAGACCCAGCAGUUGCCUCUAAGGAGAGAAGGCAAUGGACUCCAGCUGAUGACGAGGUCGUCAUAAGUGCUUGGCUCAACACAUCUAAGGAUGCAGUGGUUGGGAAUGAACAAAAAUCAGGGACGUUCUGGAAACGUGUUGCUGAGUACUAUAAAUCUACUCCACAUGCUAAAGAGAGUGGUGAACCAAGAGAGUGGCUCCAUAUUAAGCAGAGGUGGCAGAAGAUUAAUGACCUCACCAACAAAUUUUGCGGUGCUUACUCGGCAGCGGAGAGACAGAUAACUUUUGGUCAGAGCGAGACUGACGUCCUCAAGAUGGCUUAUGAUAUCUACUACGCUGAUCACAAGAGAAAAUUCAAUCUUGAGUAUGCGUGGUACGUGUUGAGGUUUGAGCAGAAAUGGCUCAGUCUUAACACUCCUAAACCCACUAAACCCACUGGGAGUUCAAAGCGAAAAGGUGGAGAGGAAUGUUCAGUGACCUCAAGCACCACUGUUGGUGAUGAAGAGGUCCGGCCUGAAGGUGUCAAAGCGGCUAAAGCAAGAAGGAAGGUGGGUCAAGGAAAGUCUCUUGCUGAUGUUACUACUGUGAUGGAGAUGAAAGAGAGACUGUCAAAGCUUGCCAUUUUAGACACACUGUUAGCCAAGACAGGACCACUAAGCGAGGCUGAAGAGAUUGUCAAGAACAAGCUGCUCGCUCAGUAUUUCUGACUAUAUGUUGCUGAGAUAUCUGUUUGUAUUUCCUGAACUAGUUACUAUGUUUGUAUUUCAUGAAAUGUGUUGCUGAAUUCGCUGUUUCAUAAUUGGUACAUUAAUGUAUUUCUGUUUGGUAGCAUUUUCCUUAAUGUAUGUGUUUGUGACUUCCCAUGUGUAGUAAAUGUAUUUACCUAAAUGUUUUUCUGCUUGGUAGUUCUUAAAAAAAUGUAUUUUCGACAUUUGAUAUACUUGUCUAUCAUCUUAAGGCUACUAUUGACUUACUUUCAAUUUUUUUUUUUGCAGGUUUAAUUCGUAAAAAUGGGCCGAUAUAGUUACAGCCAGCCUUCAGAUUCAUCACACUAUAGUGGGGAUCAAGCUGAUAGUGGGUACAGCGAGACAGAAGAGCUUAUUGGUCGUGACCAAGCUGAGUUGGAGUUGAAGUAUCCUGAGCCGUCUCAGUACCCUACGCAGUAUCCUCCACAACCUGAGGUGGAGUUUGGAUUCCCCCAGGUUUGCUAUUGUGGUGAUGCACCAAUUCUAGCUACAUCAAAAACGAUCCGGGGAGGAGGGUAUACACCUGCAAGAAUGUGGAUGAUGGCGAUUGCCAUGUCUGGAAGUUUUGGGACGUCGCGGUGAUGGAGGAGAUGAGGGUGAGGGAUAAACACAUUCUGCAGUUGGAGGAAAAGGUAGAUAACCUUACCUUAAUGAGUAACUUUGAGUCUGAGGAAAAGGUGGUUAGGCUAGAGAACUUAGUUUCUGACUUGGCAAAGAAGUCGUUUACUUUAAAAAUUGAGUUUGAAGUUUGUGUUGGUGUCAUGCUCUUUGUAUUAGUGGUACUUGGUCUGGUGAUCGGAGGGAAGUGAUGUUGGUGUAUUGUUAUGUACUAAUGUGUUGUAUUGUUAUGAACUUUAUGAAUUACAAAUGUGUUGUAUUGUAAUGAAUUAAAUUUGUUAAUUGUUUAUGCCUCCACUCCAUGUAUAUUGUUCGAUUCAAUCACUUGUAUAAUUAACUUAUUGAUAUCGAAUUUGUAAGCCAACUGUGCAACAACUACUUCACUCGUUCACAUAAAAAUAAUUAAAAUGUGACUUUGAAACAACAACUACUUGUCUCGUGAACCACUUUAAACAACAUAAUAAUUCAAAGGUACAACAUAAUAAUUCAAAGGUGUAAGAGUCACAUGAGUUGUUUUUUACUUCCACAACAAAACAAUAUACAUUCACAAGUUGUAUCACGAGAACACAAUAUACAUUCACAAGUUGUAUCACGAGAAGAGCUUAUUUGCCCCUAUAAAUAUGAAAGAUCAUUGGCAAUUUAAAGACAUCCCUCCCCUUUCAUCAACUCUUCAUUUUAAAUGUAAAAAAACUCUAAUGGCAUCUUCUUCUCAUUAUCACUACCAUAACGAUGACGAUGAUGAAGAUUAUGUUAAUGAUUACGUUGAAGAUUAUGUUAAUGAUUACGUUCAAAACUUUGAUGAAGAACCAAAAGAGCGGAAGCAACAUAUUUAUAUGGAGAGGCACCGAGAAGACGGCCACCAGAUGCUCUGGAAUGAUUACUUUUGCGAGACUCCAACUUAUAAUGUUCAAUUAUUCCGACGACAGUUUCGAAUGAACAAAUCAUUGUUCCUGCGUAUUGUGAAUCGUCUCACAACCAACAUACCGUAUUUUCAACAAGGCAAAGAUUGUACCGGACGGUCUAGUCUAACACCCCUACAAAAAUGUACUGCAGCAAUUCGACAGUUGGCAUAUGGCGGUGCAGCUGAUUCACUUGAUGAGUAUGUCCGGCUUGCUGAAACGACAGCUCGGAAAUGUUUGCACAAUUUUACCGCCGGAAUAAUCAGCUUGUUUGGUGAUGAAUACCUCCGCCGUCCCACACAUGAGGACCUGCAAAGACUUCUCUAUAUAGGAGAACAACGUGGAUUUCCGGGGAUGGUUGGCAGCAUCGACUGUAUGCAUUGGGAGUGGAAGAAUUGCCCCACUGCUUGGAAAUGAAUGUAUUCACGAGGAACCGAAAAACCAACAAUUGUUUUGGAGGCGGUAGCUUCAAGUGACCUCUGGAUAUGACACGCAUUUUUUGGAGCUCCAGGUACUAUGAACGAUCUUAAUAUUCUCGAUCGAUCACCCAUUUUUGAUGACAUUAUUAACGGAAUAGCGCCACAAGUGAACUUCUGUGUUAAUGGUAAUACAUACCAUUUGGCAUAUUAUCUCACUGAUGGUAUUUAUCCGAAAUAGGCGACUUUUAUUCAAUCUAUCCGACUUCCACAAAGUGAGAAACAUUCGUUAUUUGCUAAAACCCAAGAAGCUGUUCGAAAAGAUGUGGAGCGUGCCUUCGGAGUUCUGCAAGCUAGAUUUGCCGUAGUGAAAAAUCCAUCUAAGUUAUGGGAUAAAGAAAAAAUAGCAAAUAUUAUGAAAGCAUGCAUCAUACUCCAUAAUAUGAUUGUCGAGGAUGAAUGUUCAACAUUCACUCAGUAUAAGGAGAGAGAAUUUCAAGAAAGCGAAGAAGAGGAUACAUUCACCGUUACUCCGAAUUCAAAUCUUGGCACUGCAAUGGAUCGUCGAUCGAGCAUUCGUAAUAGACAAGCCCAUGAACAAUUAAAAUUCGAUUUGAUUGAAAAUAUUUGGGCUAAAUUUGGACAUCUUCCAAAUAACCAAUGAUUUUUAAGUUUCUGUGAAUUGAAUAAAAUGUGUGUUAGCUAUUAUUUUUAAUUUUUUUAAAUGGAAUGUAAUAAAAUGUUUGUAAUUUUAAUUUAAUGAAAUAAAAAGUUUUUUUAAUGUAUUGAAUAUAAAUGGAUAUAUCUUAAUUACUAUUUAUAAAUAAAAAUAAUAUUUUUAACCUAAGAACCUUCGAAAAGUUCUAUUGAUAAUGUAGUAUUUUAGUUAAGUAUCUUACAAAACUUCUUAGACUAAAAAUAAUCAUUAAAUAUUCUAAGAUGUUUGCUAAGAGUUGCCAUUGAUAAUGUUGCUCUAAGACCAUGAUUUUCCGGGGUUCUUAGAGCAUCUCCAAUGGAGUAUCUAAGAAGGAUUAAUGGCAUGGUUAUACCUAAUUAAAUGCCGAAAAUUAAAUAAGAAAGGGAAAAAUUAGGUAGAUAUGGUUCUAAAAUUGGAUAUUUUGGAACCACUUCUAAGCUAAUAUGUGUCAAUGUCUGAUUGGUUAAGUUUUUUUUUUAAAAACCCACUUGUUCUCUCACUCUCUCUCUCUCUGAUUUCGUGAAAAAUUUCCCAGCAAACUCUCUCUCUUUUCAUGGCGGAAUCACCAAAGUACAUUGAGCCCUAUGAUUGCAGAGAAGCUGUAGCGAUUUCGCCAAAACUCUCUCUCUCUUUCGUUAUGUUGAACCCGGGAUUACAGAGAAUCCCGCCCGUGUUUAAACCCUCCGACGAGCUCUCCGGCAGCUAUGUACGGCGGAGGUGCGUUUCUUCUUCAAACCACGAAUUCUCCUUCAAGCGAGUCCAAUCGGUAUACUCUUAUACUCUCUCUCUAUCUUCUGAUUCUCUAUCUCCCUAGGGUUUUAAUCGAAAUCCCAAUUUUUCACAGGUCAGAAAAUCAGCAGGUCCAUUCGAUGCACUAAUCUGCGUCGGCCAAUUCUUCCCCGAUUCACCGGAGCUUCUAGACGAGUUUCUGGAUUACGUCGAAGGCCGAGCUCAGGUCCUGAUUCCUACUUACUUCACCGGAGACUACGGCGUCUCCGCCCCUAAAAUCCUAUCCGCGACCUCGAAGAAAACUGAGAAUCAAGGGUUUAAGAUGGACGGGCUCGUGGUGGCACACAACUUGUUUUGGUUAAGAGGAAGUGGGAAGUUCACUCUUCAUGGUAACAGUGUUUUUCUGAUAUUGAUUAAAGAAUCAAAUUUUGUUGUUUGUGAACGUUGCUGAUAUGAUUUGGUUAUGUGUUUUAGGUUUGUCUGUUGCUUACUUAUCUGGUACGGAGUCAUCUGAUGGUCAGUUUGGGAAGUACAGUCAAGAUGAUGUUGAUUCUCUUCGUGCUCUUGCUGAUGAUUCUGGAGUUGUUGAUUUGUUUUUGACAUAUCCUUUUUUGAACUUUUGAUGGAUGGAUUGGUUUCUUUAUGUUCAUGUUUUUAGUAAUUGUUGGUCCUUAAUUAGUUUAUUUACUAAUGAAUGGCCUGUGGGAGUCACGAACAGAGCUGCGGAGUCUGAUAUUCCUGCAGAGGUUUCUGAUUCGUCUUGUUGUGAUUCCAAUGUUUCUUAAUUGGUGAAGGAAGUUAAACCUCGGUAAGUGUUUUUUUGGUUCUUGAAUUGUUGUUACUGGGAGUUGUUGAUAAGUUUGGAACUUAUUUGUUGUUUAUGUUUGUGUGUUUUGUUGCAGUUAUCACAUUGCAGGUUCGAUGGGGGGUGUUCUAUGCCCGUUAACCUUACUUGAACGUUGAUUCUAGUCAUGUAACUCGCUUUCUUUGCCUUGCUCAAGUUGGAAACAAAAACAAACAGGUGUGUUCUUUGAUAGUUACUCUUGUCCCAAGAGCUUGGUACUUAUUGGUCACACCUAACACUCUUGGUAGUUAGCUUUAAUUUACUUAAGCGCUCAAUGCGUGGUAGAGUCUAGUAUCUUGGUAGUUAGCUUUAAUUAGGUUGUGAUGCAAGUAAUCUAUUAUUACAAGUUUUCAAAUUUUUGAAACUUAGAACCUUUAAUUGGUUCUAUCAUUGGAAGGUUUAAAACUAAACAAGUAUCUAAACUUUUUAAUUUGAUUAUUUUCAAUUAAAAAUUUGUUUUAGAACUCUAAGACCAUAUCUAUUGUUGGAGAUGGUCUUAGAGUGGGGUUCUUAGCGGAAGUUAAGAACUGUUUUUUAACUUCCGCUAAGAACCUCAUCAUAAGAACCCCAGGUUAAUCAUGCUCUAAAAAUCGUCUCUUAGCCGAAAAGUGUAAGAAAGAAAAAGAAAUGUCAAAUUAUGAGUUAAGAACUCCUGCUAAAAUACCGGGGUUAAUCAUGUUCAUAACCGCGUAAAUAGUUUUUUGGGUGCAACUCGCGUAAAUGGUUUCUAGCAAUAUGACUCACACGCUUCAAUAAGAUAAAAGCUAUAAAUAAAAUGAAUAAAUCAUAUAGUUUUCUUGAUUUGGUUGGUUGAUAACAUACUUUGAUACUCUGAAAUCUACGCGUGGUUGUCGAAUCCAGAGUUUGUAAAAUAUUUUAGAUUAGACUCAAGGAGACCGGUUAAUUUAGCACAAGAAUAAACUAGAGUUUAGCACGUAAAAGCUAUGAUUAACAAAAGGAGACUACCGUUUGUCGUUCCUCUCUUCCUCAUCCUCGUUCCUGGAAGCUGUGAGUUUGAUGAAUCUGAGGAUGUUUCUGAAGGAGAGAGGAACACUUAGUCGACGAGAGAUGAAGAGACCAGGGAUGAGAACAAGAGCAAAAAAAGUCAAAACAAUAGAGAACAUAUACACCAUUUUUGUUUUGUCUUUGUUUCAGUAUUUUAGAACCGAAGCACUCGACUACGAACUUAAAGAGGUUCAAGUUCAAAGACGCACAUGAUUAAUGGAACGUUUUCCGGCUCGCUAUCUGUCUCUUCUUGAUGCUACGCAAAGACAGGUCCUACGAAGGUUUAAUACGAUCUUACGACACUUGAAAAUACUAAAUGGUUAGUUGACAAAAAAAAAAUACUAAAUGGUUUUGCAUGUGAUUUGCUUAUUAAGUUAAGACAUUUUUAUGAGCCCAGAUUUGGACUUGGAUCAAUAUAAUUAUAUAACUUUACAUUACAUCAAUGAAGUCUCGUAAAGUAUUAAAUAAACUGAGGUAUGGUGUUUUAGAAAAAAACACCAAACAGGUAUGAUGGAAACUUCUUACGCUCACUAGCAAAAAGAAAAGGAAAGGGUAUAUGAUGUUAACAUUAAUGUCGAAGGUAGCCGUAUAGAUAUCAUAUAGCUAUUCACAUUUUGUUUGCGUGCAUAUAGUAUCAUUCUUCUAAUAUGAAAGAGCUCCUUUUCAUUGUAGUAGUUGUUGUUGCUUGAUUCAAAGUCAAUCUAGAAUUUAGGAAUAAUAGGGUUUCUGGUUUAACUUAACGUAGUUGUUUCCUAGUUAUUAAGAGUUUAUUAUUUAUCUUUUAUUAUCAUGGGUAAUCUAUUUUUUUUAUAAAUUCAGUAUUUUAUAAUUGUAUUUCUUAAGCUUUUUAAUCAACUUAAUAUUUUAGCUUCCUUUCUCUGAAAUCUCCCAACAAUUAUGGUAUCAGAGCCAAGCAAAAUUUCAGGUUUUAAUCCUCGUUAAAAAGAAAGAAAAAAUAAGAAGAAGAAGAAGAAGAAGAAGAAACGAUGGCUAGCAACGGUUCACCGCAUGCCCUUGUUCCGAUUUUCAAAGGUGAAAAGUAUCAUAUAUGGAGUCUCAAGAUGAAGAAUAUGUUCCGAUUGCAAGAAUUAUGGGAUCUGGCCGAAUCUGGUUUUGAAGAUGAUAAUCCAGAAGAACCUGAUCAAUCUCUACGGAAGAGAAGAAAGAAAGAUGCAAAAGCAUUAUUCUUCAUCCAAACGGCAUUGGAUGAUGAUAUACUCUCAAGGAUCUCUGCAGCAAACACAGCUCAUGAAGCGUGGGAGAUUCUGAAGCAUGAUUAUAUGGGAGCACAAAAGGUGAUCCUGGUGAAGUUAAAAACUUUAUGGCAAAAACUUGAAACUCUUUCUAUGGAACAUAAGGAAACUGUUCAAGAGUACUUGGGUAGAGUGUCUACCAUUGUGAAUCAGAUGAAGGCUUAUGGUGAGUUAUCCACCAAUGAGAGCAUCGUGAGCAAGGUGCUGAGGAGUCUGUCAUCACAGUUUGAGUAUGUAGUUCCAGAAAUCAUUGAGUCAAAUGAUCUGAGACAUACACAUGUGAUGAAUUGAUGAGUUCUUUGUUGGCUCAUGAAGAUCGGCUUAGCAAAGCCUAUGAGAAAGCUUUUCAAAUGAAUGAAGAUUCUUCAGAAAAUGGAAGAUCUGAGUAUUAUGGAAACCAAGGCAGAGGUGGAUAUCAUGGUCGAGGCCAUGGUUAUGGAAGAGGAAGAGGUGGAUUCAAUGAACAGAAUCAACACCAAGGUUCAUACGAAUAUCAAGGUUAUCACAACAGUGGAUACGAGGAUCAAAGUCAGUUCAAGAGCAAUAUUCAGUGUAGGUAUUGCAAGAAGUUUGGGCACAAGGAGGCUGAGUGCUGGUCCAAACAAAGUAAUGAGCAAAAAUCAAAUUUUGCUCAAGAUGUUGAAGAAGAGAGUAAGCUGUUCAUGACGCAUUCUACUUGCACAAGUGUGUCUGAUGUGGUAUGGUUUUUGGAUAGUGGUUGUUCCAAUCACAUGGCUGGUUGACAUGGUAUCAGAGCGUAGCCACACCCCGACCCAUUAAUCCGGCCCAGAAAGAGGUCAGAUCAUCCCACUAGCUGAUGGUCCAGAGAAGGCUCAGUUCCGCCGAGAUUGCUAGAAAAAAGAAUUGUCUCAGAGGGGGUAUGAUGGAUUCUGCGAGAUUAAUGGUUAUACGCACCAUUAUCUCGAAGGAGGGUGUUGGAGAGAAGUCCCACAUUCAAAAUAUGUAAGGGACUUGAUAUAUAUGGGACUUGGGCCACUCCACUUACCGCUAAUUGAUUUUAAGUUGGAAGUACAGAAAACUUGACAGAAGCAGAAAUGUUUCUUGAGUGGCAGAUUGCAAUAAAACAGGAGAUGAAAUCUAUGGAGAAGAAUUCUACAUGGGAGUUCUGCAUAAAGAAAAAGCAAGGAGAAGAUGGAAUCUUUGCAUGUCAGAAGAAGUAUGGUUGUGAGAAGGCACUCACAACAAAUGAUUAUGGUAUGUGGUUUUUGAACUUGUUCAAUUUCAAGUUUGUUGGUUGGACAGACAGCGACUAGGCAGUAAGUUUGGAUAAUAUGAAAAGCAAUUUGGAAAAUUGCUUUAGUUUUGGUUCUGGUGCUGUUAUUUGGAGUUCAAAGAACCAAGAAACUGUGGCACUAUCAUCAACUGAAGCAGAGUAUGUGGCAGAAGAAGCAACAACAAGGCAAGUUCUAUGUUUAAGGAAGUUACUAGCUAAUUUCUGUGUUGAACAAGUUGAAGCUACAGAUAUAGCGUUUCAUGGCAGUAUCAAGAAGUUUGGAGUGUGCAAAUUUGAAUCAAAGGGGAGUGUUGAUUGAUUCAAAGUCAAUUUAGAAUCUAGGAACAAUGGGGGUUUGUGGUUUAACUUAACGUGGGUUGUUUCCUAGUUAUUAGGAGUUUUAUUUUUUAUUUUUUACUAUCAUAGGUAAAGGGUAGUUAUCUAUUUCUUUAUAAAUUCAGUAUUUUGAAAUUGUGUUUUUUAAGCUUUUCAAUCAACAUAAUAUUUUAGCUUCCUUUCUCUGAAAUCUCCCAGAAAUUGUCCAACUAACAUCUAAAUACAGCCCCAAUAUCUGUAAGCCUCUUGACGUUUCCCGGCAAUAUAAACCGGCUAAAAGAAAUCUUUCUGCAUUCAUUAAGAAGUUGAAGAGAUUCUUUUUUAGUAAGUUUGUAGAAAUUUUAGUCUAACUAAAAAAUUACAAUGAUUAAACCACUCUAAAAUCUCGUAUAAAACUAUCAGAUUUAAUAUUUAUUUUAACUAAAUAUAUAUUAAAAACUCUAAAAUAACUAAAAGAUCGCUAAAUUCACAACUUCAAAAUAUUUCAACAACAAUGAAAUUCAAAGUGAUUUAUCAAAUAACAAAUUCAACGAGAAAAUUUCUAAAAGAAAUUAAAUUUAUAUUUUGAUAACAGUGCCUUUUAGUACAAAUCACAUCAAACUUAUUUUGAUUAAAAACAUCUCCUAAAUGAAAAUGUCAAUUUUCCUUUGUCAAUUAUAAACCGGCUAUCGGAAUAAGAGAUACAAGAGCAUAAUUAAUGUUGUAUCUUAGAUAGGUAUCUUAGGAUAACUAUGCUUUAAUUUUUUUUUGCAAUUAACAGAAGGGACAUCUCUUGAUUAGGCGAUGCAAGAACCGUGUCUUGGCAUACACGUGUUGAUGGUGGAAAAAAAAAGCAAUGUCUUUCUCUCUUCUCUUCCUCUCUCUUUCUCUUCUCUUCCUCUCCGUUUCUUCUUCUUCUUCCAGAUUGAUUCUCAAUCACUCUAUUAUAUUUGAUUGAUUGAAUUUAGUUUUUGAUUGAUUUAGAAUCGGGAAAACGAAUUACUCGUUAAAGCCAUUGAUCGGACCUCCGUUUGGAUGUCUGCUCGAAGUCGAAACCAGAGAAGAUGGUUCUUUCCUCUCUAGCAUUCUUACCAUCAAAAAAGUUUAGUCUUUUUUCUCAAAAUCACAUUAAAGAAUCGUUUUUCUUGUUACUAUGGUUAUAAUGUUUGGUUAUAGAUUUUAUUGAAUUGAUGUUUUGGUCCAUAGACCUUUGUUUGGUUUAUGGAGGUGGGAUGAUGGGGAAUCCAGCUUUAGCGGCAGCGGCUGGUGGAAGCCUAUGUUGCACGGAGACGGAUACCAGACAGAAACGGAGACGGAAAAUGGCAAAACUAAAAAUGUAAAGAUACUGUAUGGCAUAUAUAUGUCUAUAUAAAUAUAUAUAAUAUAUAUAAGUUUAAACUAUAAACAAGUCAAACUAUAAAUUUCAACGUAAAAGUAGAGCAAAGAACAUAAAUUCACAACCAUAAACUAAAAACAGAGCAAAGAACAUAUAAACACGAUCAUAAAGUUAACAAAACAGAGAACAUUUGAUAUAACCACGAGCAGUAACCAUUAGGUAAUUAAAAUAUUGGAGUUAUAAUAGAGAAAUGUCACGGAAACGUUUCCUCCCCGUCCCCACCGUGUCUCCGUCUCGGAAACGUAACGGGUACGUGAGACGGCUAUGAAUUGCCGUCCCCGUGCUUCAUAGGUGGACGCUACAUGUAUCCGAUGUUGGCUAGCGUGUUGGGUCAGAUGGGUAGGAUUGGUGAUCCGGGAGCACUUAGGGCUUACUUUAGAGGAGGUCAGAGUCUUCCUACUGCUUAUUCUGAUUUACUGGGAGAAAAGGGAAUGGUAAAGAUUCAGAAGCUGGUGGUGGUUCGUUUCAGGGCUACUCAAACUAUUAAUGGUACGCUUACUUGUUACCUCUAGUGUUGUUAGCAAAGACACAACAUAUAUUGUUUAGCUAUUAGGCUUAUUAAGCAGAUAAAAUUGAUUAAGGCUGUUGAGGUGGUUUAGCAUUGUCAUUAACGGCCUAAAUGAAUCUUACUUGGACUGCUUUUCAAGAUUUUGAUGACAAGAUGAUGUGUCGCACGGCACCGACCAUGCUUUUGUUUUUCUUUAUUUUAGUACCGUUUCAGUCUCCAUUUGGUUUUUGGUUUUCCUUUAUUUCUUUACAGCUUCUGGUUUUACCAUUUUGUUAUUGGUUUUGUAAGAUUGGUGAUGGCGGCAGGGAUGAAAGUUGUUGAGCUUUGUUUUCAUUCAGUUGCAUGUUUUGUUUAAUUUUGGGGGUUUUUAAUGUUGCAUUGAGUUUUAUUAUUUGAUCGUCCACUAUCUCUCCACUCAUCUGGUUUUGGUAUCAAUGUCCUCAAAUUAAUAGUCACGCUAAAGCAUGAGCUGCUCGUGCUGUUUCUCAUUCAUGUGUUUAUUCUCUGUACUUUUGAUUUUCAUAUUGGUUUGAUGAUUGUUUGUCCCUUUGAUUUCUUUUGUUUUUAUUCUGGUUUUCCGUGUGUUGUUUUGUUUGUUCUUAUGUUUUUGAUGUUUGGUUUGUUUUCUUGAACUCAAACUUUGCAGAUGAUAAUAGUUUUUUUUUAAGAACCCUUAGUUAAAAAACUAGCAUUGGAGGACAAAAAUGUUGAUGUCUCUUAACUAAUUUCUUAACUUACAUUUAUUAUUAAAAAACUCAUUAAGAAAUCCUAAUGGGAUUGUUUGGUUAAUCAUGCAUAAUUUCCCGACUUUUCUUGAAAAGUUGGAAUGCAUUGUUUAUAAUUGACUCGAAAGACCGACCAAUAGCAAAGAACUGUGACUCACUGGUUCAACCAAAUCGGAGAUGGCGUCGUUUACCGCAGCGGAGGAAUAAACUCUUCCGGAGUGACUACAGCCGAGCUGAUGCCGAAGCACGUAGCGGUUGAAAUGGACGGAAACGGAAGGUGGACGAAGAAUCAAGGUCUUCAACCUUGGGACGGUCACAGAGCCGGCGUUGAAGCUUUGCGAGCUUUGCGGUAGAUGGGGAGUCCAAGUCUUUACAGUCUUCGCCUUUUCUAACGAAACUGGAUUAGACCUAAAGUAUGACCUGUUUGAAUAUGCCCUAGAUUUUCUAGGGUAUAUCUUUUGCUCUGUGGAACCCAUCUGGUACCUAAUAUCCCCGCUGAUCGAGAUUGAUUUCUUGUUGAGUUUGUUCGAGAGAACACUCAAAUCAGAGCUUGUAAAUUUAGCCAAUUAACUAUGGUAUGAUCAGAAAAUCCAUCAAAUUGUUUUUGUGAUGCGUGUGUCACAAGUCUGCUAUAAUCUUCUUGAGUGUAGGAACAAUGUUCGUAUCUCUAUCAUUGGAGACUCCUCGAAACUUCCAAAAUCUCUUUUAAAAGUGAUAAACGAAGUUGAGAAGUUACAAAGAACAACACGAGGCUUCAGCUAAUCGUAUAGGGAUGUUGUAAUAGGCAAAAUUACCCGGCCCGGCCCGAAGCCGAAAUAAACCCGCCCAAAAAAUACUCUAAACCAAAAAAUCCGAAAAAACCCCGAAAAAAAUUCGGUAUCAUUAGGGUAACCCGCGAAAAACCCGAAAACCACGGGUAACCCGUGAAAAACCCUAUCUCUAUUUUAUUUAAAGUUUUGUGGGCUUUUAGUUAAAGCUUUAUAGUUUUAAACUAAAUUUAAAUAUAUUGAAUAUUUAAUUUUUAAUCAUGUUUUGUAUACAAUUUGAUUAAAAAUUAUAGUUUUAAACUAAAUUUAAAUGUAUUGAAUAUUUAAUUUUUAAUCAUGUUUUGUAUACAAUUUGAUUAAAUCUUUAUAGUUUUAAACCAAAUUUAAUCAAGUUCUUCUUUUGUAGAAAAUGGGACAAGCACAUAUACUCCUACAGCGUCUCUCUUCACUUGUCUCCUGGUGUAUCUGUUUGGGAUUGUACCGUUCGUAAAAUGAGGUUUACCUACGUACUUGAAUGGGUGUAGUAGUCAUCAAGUUUGGUUUUGUUUUCUUCGGAAGCAAAGAAAACGCAAGUUAGCGUUUCUUUCUAAGAUUGCACAAGUUACAUUAAAGAAACAUACUCAGAAUGGAACCAAACAUAUCAUUAAAACAAAGUAUUAAAUUAUAUUAUCAACUUAAAGAAACAAAUUCAGAAACAUAGUAUCAGCUUAAAAAAACAUACUCAGAAACAUAGUAUCAGCCCAAAGAAACAGACUCAUAAACAUAGUAUCAACUUAAAGAAACAGACUCAAAAUCACCCAAGACAUUUCAUAUAGAUCAUCACAUAAGAUCAAGGUAGCCUUCUGAAAUAGAUCUCCACUGUUUGAAGAACGUGGUGGAUAACUUCUUAUGGAUGCUAGUUGCUACCUACAUGUACACGUACACAACAAGAAACUUGUGAUCAGCAACAAGUCACAAAAUGUGAUACCAAAUUCAAGCAUCAACCAAGAAACCUUUAGAUUAUCAGACCAAGUUAGCUAGCCUAUGAGAGCUGUUCAGUCAAGUUUCAGAGUAUCUAAACUAUGGUCAGGUUUCAGAGUAUCUAAACUAUGGUUAAUAUACUAAAAUAAUAUUAGCUAAGAGUUUUAACCUCAUAUUACAGAACUACUUGCUGUGGUUGUUGGAUCCUUGUCUAAGUUUUUAUAUAUACUUACAUCUGUAAGGGGAAGCGCUUUGACUUGCUUAAAUGCCUCUAGUGAAUGUAGAAUAGGUCUCACAAUAGCUGGCAGAAAGAGUCCUACAAACAAAGUGAAGACAAAGAUUCAAUAACACAUUUCCAAGAUUCAAUAAUUCAAAAUUCAUGAUCAUGUUGGUGCAAUUUAACACAGAACAAAAAUUGCUAGAAAACUUUUUGAGACCAUUAGAAAGUUCAAGAUUGUUUUAGAAAAAGCUUGAUUGAGUACCUUAUCUUUGACCAAACCACCAAAGGUGAAAACAACUGCAGUCUCUAAAGCCUGUAGAACUCGGGCAUGCAUACAUAACAGCACCUAAAAUGUGAGUUUCAGAACCGCUGAUAAUCAACCUGUUAAGCACAACAGCAAGAAAGCCCACAAUAUGCAAACUCGGCCAAGUUACCUAGCCGUUGACCAACGUAACGGCACACAUGUGCACACAUGCGCACACAUAGAACAAUGUUGUUGUUUCAGCACAAAAUCAACCAAACCCUGAGUUCACGACCUAAAUUUUCUCUAUAAAUGGUUGAUUAAACUUUUAUUUUCUUUUUCUCUAACAAAACAAAGUACAUAGUUAAUCAGAGAGAGAGAGAGGGAGACUAAGACUUGAUCGAACAAAGUGAAUUUUUACAAUCAUUGUUGUCCGGGACAACUUGACCAACCAACCAAUGAUCUAUAGCACAAAGACAAAACCCACUCAAGUUCUUCCAGAGAGUUUUAAGAACAAACAAAAGCAUAGUUCUUACAUUUUAUAGAGAGAACGAGGAGGAAGGUAAUCACGUACGGACUUCUUCUGGUAACUCUUUGACUCCUUUCGUUGGGGCCUAAACCAAUUAGGAUAGAAUCAAUGGUUAGUCAACCAUAUUCUAAAGCAUGAGAAUCAAAACACAAAAACACAUUUCGAAAUCUUACCAAUGAACCCAAUCUAGAAUGAAUCGUCGCAAGAAAGCAUGUCUAAUUUCUAGAUCUGUGUUUUGUGGCUGAGGUUACGGGAGAAACAAAAAUUUGGGGUAAAAUAUAAUGUAAAACGACGUCGUUUGGGUUAAUUUUUUUUUAAAAAAUAACCCAUCGGGUAUCCAAAGCCCGACAGUGUAAACCCGAUAGGGUAAUAAACAAAACAAGACCCGCCCAACAUAAACCCGCGAGUUUUAAAAUCUAAAAUUAAGUAGUAGGGUUUCGGGUUUCAAAUUUCAACCAGGUUUCCGUACCCUAUGGGUAAAAACCCAUUAUUAACAUCGGGAAGUCACAAGGCUGCUAUAAUCUUCUUGAGUGUAGGAACAAUGUUCGGAUCUCUAUCAUUGGAGACUCAUCUAAACUUCCAAAAUCUCUUUUAGAAGUUAUAAACGAAGUUGAGGAAGUCACAAAGAACAACACGAGUGUUUGAUCGGAAAACGGUAAUAAAGAAGAUGUGGGUUUAACAAAGACGUCUUAUUUAUGGUCGGGGCGAACGUUCAGUCGGUUACAAGAGAAACGAAGAGAAUGCGACAGAGAGGAAGCCGGUGGCUCGAUGAGCUACCGGAAAGGUGCAACUAACGGCGAGAUGAAGCAAAGGUGAAAACCCUAAUCUAGCCGCCAAGUGUUAGUCAAUGAUCUCGGAUCUCCCUCUCGUUGUUUCCCAUUUCCCUUAUAUAGACGUCCUGAUGUUUCGUCCUUGACCUAAUUUACGCCAUCUCGGUGGGCCUCCUUUGCUGGGCCGAGAAGCCCAUAGACGUCCGAGCAGCCGCUGAGCCGAAUAUACUUCAGUCGAUGAUGAUCGACUAAAAGUACUCAAGAGUCAAGCCGAGAGACCUGACUCUUGAGCCGACCGAUCGAGCCGUCGCUCUACCUAGUCCGGGCCAGGCCUUUCUAUUCUUCGAGCCUUGUGGGGUGGUCAAAUCCAUCCUCUACAGUAAGUCCCCCCCAGUCCAUUAGCGAGCGAAGUGCUUUCUGGCUCGUGAUGGAUUCUAAGGUUUGAAGGUUUGAGAGAAUAGAAGGACUGUCGGAAGAUUGGAGCGAUUGGUCGAUGAGUCGCACAGCGUCGUUCUCUCGGAGGCGAGCAGGAGAGGCUUUAUCGCUCCCUUUGGUCGUUGUGUCGCAGGGAAGGUUCUGGAAUAUUUCCGCUUGAGAUCGAUUAGUCGCGGAUAUUCAGGUCCCGACUGACGUGUCUAGAUUAACCGUUGGUUUAUUCUGAUUUUAAGAUGACCGAAAUCUGAUUUAGACGAGAAGCUGAAACGUCGCGAGGGUCCGCUGGACAUUUGGGAGAGUUUCGAGGCCCAAACGGGCCCGUUUGAAUUUAAUGAUGACGCCUUGAGUUUCCCCCGUUCUCUUCCUUCCAUAACAUGUCGAGAAGCGGAAUCCUCGCGAGGGUCCGCUGGGUUUUUAGGGUGGAUUUCGAGGCCCGUUUAGGCCUGAAUAGACCUAAUGAUAGCGCCUCGAGUUCCCCCCCCCUCUCUUUUCCUUAUAAAUACGCAGACCCCCUCUCAUUUCUUCAAGUUCUCCUCCGCGAUCAAAGGUACUUUCUCUCUCCUUUCCUUAUCUCUCUAAGUGUUAUAGCCUUCUUUCGACGCAUUCUUCGCCAUCUUGCUCCACCAUGUCGUCAGUUUAGAUACUAUCGAGGCAGCAGAAGGGGAAAUCAGUUGCGGCGACGUCGGCUCCGGCUAGGAAUCCUGACGGCGGUUGCACCGGCGAUGAUGGAUGCAGUCAAUUUGUCUCGCUCCCAGAGGCUUUUAGUCGCAGAUGCGACGAGGCUUGCGAGAGAAGGAAGUGAGAAUGUCGCCGUGAGGGACACGACGGAGUGUGCGAGAGAUGGACAGAGCGGGGCGGUGCCCGUUGACUCGAUUACCUUGAGAGCUCGCGCAGUGGAAAACGUUCCUUCGGAAGACGACGAUUCUGAAGCCGAGUUGUUUCCGACGACCUUCUAUCCCGAAGGGAUUUUCGAGGAGCUUCCACGACUACACCCUGACUUAUUGCGUCCUGCUUUUGUGGCUGGUCAAGAUUGAGACGGUGUGGACGAGACUAAGUCGACCCCGAGGAGUGUGAAGAGGGUUCUUCGGGCCACGAACGCUACAGGCGUGACCUUCCUCAUUCCUACGAUAGAGCAAAGGCCUUGGUCUCCUCCGAUCGGGUACCAAACGGUAUACGAGUCCUAUUUCCAGGAUGACACUCGCUGUUGGUUCCCCGUCCCGCGACUGAUCACUGCAUACGCUAGGCGGCAAGAUCUCGCGAUUAGUCAGUGACUGAACGGCUCGCUGCGACUGGCCGUCACUUUAUCAGUUCUAGCGGUGCAGAUUGACAUGCCGAUGAGCGUUAGGUCGUUCGAGGAGAUGACCUCGAUAACCGACAUGAAGGACGGAACCUACUCGGUGAAGAUGCGACCAAACUGCAAUGUGUGCGCCGGUCAUCCAAACAAAACGCAGAAUUGGCAGCGUUCUUAUUUCUUCCUCAAGUCCGACGACUCGGCUUUCGAGGAGCCUCCUCGAGAGGACUAUCGGGUUCUGUGGAACCGUUCUUGUGGUAGAAUAUCUUGUCGCGAGCUACGUCUGACUUUGUUGAUCUUAACAAAACUUUCUUUUUGUUGUGCUCGCAGUUCGCCAUCCUACGUCUCCAGUCUAUCCCGAGGAUUUCCUGAAGAGCGUUAGAGCCGUCGCUUUGCUUCGAAUCUACCGUUGGUCCGAAAUUACUGUCGAGGGGAUUCGCGAGCUUAAGGACCGGAUCGCUCGAAGUGCGUUCUCUCGCCGUUUCUGGUUAUUCUUUCGAUCGCAAAGUUUACUUGUCGCGUCCUGACCUUUCUGCCUUAUGUUUUCAGGAGAGUGGAGAUCUGAUCUUCUGACCGUUCUUCCUAUUCGUACCAAGCGAGUAGACAUCUUCCCGAAGGACAUCUAGAAGCAAGUUUCUGAAGCAAAGAGGAUGGGAACUCUUCCUGAUUUGAGCGCGAUAUUAGCCGCCCAGCUGGGGCUGGCCAGCGGGGAAGGACCCUCGAAGGCGGUUCCUCGCGCUGGUGAGGUUCCCCCUUUUGGUGCUAGAAACGCAUGGAAGGGUAAAAAAAGGAAGAGGGGCGGCUCGGCAGUCGAGGGGAGCGCCGAGGAGGCGAGCGACGUUCCUCCUUCUGGCGAACCCCAGAAGAAGAAGAAGAAGAAGAAGAAGAAGAAGAGGACAAAGAAUCCCGUUGACAAGCAGUCGGAGAAUCCCGAAGAACCGUCUGAGAUUGAGGAGGGUGAUGUUCAAGAAGAAGAACUUCAACCCGAAGAGGAGGCUUCUGAGGCUGAAAUCUCGGGAGAACGGAACGAUGCGGAGGAAGUUGGUGGAGGGGAGGGAUCUGAAACUCCUCUUAAUGCCGCCCGUCCGGACGGUUCUGAAGAAGACAUCGGGGAGUCGCCGCUUUUGAUCAGGAGGCAUAACGACGAUGUUGGCGAUGAGGCGCGACCUCCUAUUCUGGCGUCUUCUCGCGAGGGAAGUCUGGUUCCCAUUGGAGAAGGGGCCGCUCAGAUCGGCACUUCUUCUCGCGGCUCCGCAAUCUUGAGGAGGGUGCCCAGAGUCAACUUUCCGGACAAGGUUUCGUUUCACUACGAGGGACCGGCCCCUCUAGUGUACGUUCCCGAGAAGUGCGGAGAGUUCCUUCGCCAACUAAGGGGGAGGACGAAACCUCUGCCCGCUGUGAAGGACCUCAUCUUCGGGAGUGAAUACGAGGAAGCUGAGAGGGCCAAGCUGCUGGUAAACGGCUUGGUCUUUUUUUUGUUUCGUUCCUUAACUUUUUCUUACAAUUUUCAUCUCCUCGUUGGUUUAAGAGGAUAGCGCGAAGAACGUCGUGAUUGAUAAGUACGACACUGCCCUGAAGGGAGCUUUGGGCGAACUCGAGCUGGCUAAGAAGGAGCACGCGGAGAGAGAGGAAGCUUAUGAUCGCCUGCUGAAUGCAUCGAGGGCUGACGUCGAGAGGCUUAACGGGAUGGUUGGUCGCAUUAUUGCUCGAAGAGACGAGCUCAAAGCCGAGUUGGAGGCAUCCCGAGGAGUCGUCUGUGAGCUCGAGCGGAAGAAUGCCUGACUUGAGAGCGAGAAGGUUUCGCUCGCUGCGUCUCAUGAAAGAGAGAUGAGGCGCCUUAAAGAUUCCAGAAUCCUGGAAGUGACGAGGGAAAGAGGAAGAGUUGAGGCCGAGAUGGCCGCGAAAGCUAAUCGUCGCUUCGCUAGGAUUCGCUCCCGAGAAGAGCGACGAGGUCCCUAUGAGGAGGCCCGGUUGCUUCAUAGCCAAGCCUUCGGAACCAGGAAAUGCCUUGAGGCCUUGAAGAGGGCUGGGAGCGACUUCUCGCAAGCUACUAUCGAGAUAUUCGCCGAGCAAGAAAAGAAAUACGAGCAGGAAGCCGAGAAGCUUAGGGUGGGUGAGAUACCCGAGGAAGAUCUCACACUUUCUCUUCUCGUAUUGGACUCUGAGUUUGUAGAUGCUCGAAUCUUGGCGAGUCUCGAUCCGUAUGGGUCCAACGCCGGCUUGAUCGAUCCGAAGACUGCAGCGAGUCUUCACGUUCCGCCUACUCAUCCGACUGAAGCGCGGCGCGAAGACCCGACGCCUCUUCUUGAAGGCCCUUUGGCUGAUCCAGAGAUCGUCCCGAGAUCAGACGAAGCGCGUGUUUCUCCGGCUGCUCAUGAGUCGAGCGUCAGGGCUUCGGAGCUCUCCUUCCUUAACGAUCGUGAAAGCGACCGGGAGGACUAGCUUCUCUUGUAUGUUGUUUCUUUUCAGUCUCGGAGGACUUGUGUUGUUGCUUUUUAGACUUUUUCCUUUUGAGGCUUCUACUUUGUUGUUUUUCUUCUGUUAUUUCCAACUCUUCGAACCGUAUUAAACUGUUUAUCUUUUAUUGUACUUGUCUAUCAAAUGCAUGAUUUCUCAAGAUUCGAAGUGACUUUGUUUGUUUAGUAUAAACAUUAUUCGAGAUAUCGAAUCGUUGUGGUGUUAAGCUCGUCAUGACUUUGUCUCGGUCGAUCUCUUUGACUCGCGAUCGUUCGUCAUUCGAGUUUCGUUGUUAAUUGCGAGUUUUCGACGUUGACGGUUCCAAAUCGAUCCUAAUGUAAUUUCCAAGCGUUCGGUGGGCCAGACCUUACUUAGUAAAUUAUAGGGUGAAUUAGAGUCAUUGUCUCGGCCGUGUUGGUUUGAAUCGCGACACGGUCGACUCCCGUGGAUAUGUGUCUGAUCAGGACAUAUCCAACGUGGGAUGCGAGUACCAAUACACUUGUUCGAGAAACCGGGGUGUGCUCGUGUAGGCAUCGCUCAAGUGAUCAUUUGCUUCGGAGAUCGAUUCCUCGGGGAGGGGGUUUGUUGUUUUUUUUUUUUUUCGGCUGGACCCUUUUCUUUUGGGCUGCCUACGUAUCCCUUUGCGGGAAUCAAGCCAUUCGUAGUUCUUGGGUUGCGAGUAAAAGUGGCCUUAGAGGCGCAUUUACUCGGUUUUUUUUUUUUUUUUUUUUAGAGUACUAAUCUAUUUUUAACAUUUAAUUAGAUCGGGUAAUUUUUCAAAUUACGAAUGGAAGCUCGGUUUUUUUUUUUUUUUUUUUAGAGAGAGCGUGACCGUUGGUCGUUCUUUCGCCGUUUGCAGAGAGCGAGUUAAAGUGGCCUUAGAGGCGCAUUUACUCGGUACGGCGUUCGUCUCGACUAAGGGUGGAAGAGGCGGAGGUGUUUGGAGUUCCAAGCUCUCGGUAUUGCUUCGCCUGUUGAAGUCUCGAGGCGGUAUACUCCUAGUUUGAUGACUUCGACUAUCUUGUAUGGUCCUUCCCAGUUGGCUCCGAGCUUGCCGGCUUUCCACUCCUUAGUGUUUUCGAAGACCUUUCUUAAGACAAGGUUACCCAUUUCGAGAGGACGCGAUUUGACCUUUUUGUUGUAGUAGCUCUCGAUUUGAUGCUGUUAGUUCUAGAUACAGAGUAAUGCUUGGUCGCGCUUUUCCUCGAUGUCGUCGAGUGCGUCGAGCAGCAUGUCGCGGUUGAGUUCGGCGUUUUGUGGCAUUCGCGAUUGGCGCAGACUCGUCACAUUUACCUCUGCGGGAGCCAUUGCCUCGAUGCCGUAGGCCAUCGAGAAGGGUGUAGUUUUCGUCGCUCCACGAGGAGUUGUUCUGUGGGACCACAGGACACCGUCUAGUUCAUCUGCCCAGCAACCUUUCUUUAAGUCGAGUCAUUUCUUCAGACCGUCGAUGAUGGUCUUGUUCGUCGACUCGGCUUGGCCGUUACUUUGCGGGUUUCUCGGGGUCGACAUGUUGAGUCGAAUUCGCCAUCUGUCGCAGAAUCCCUUGAAAUGAUGCGAGAUGAAUUGUGAACCGUUGUCUGUGAUGAUCUUGUAUGGGAGUCCGUGUCGGCAGAUUAUGUUCUUUCAGACGAAGUUUUGCACCUCCUUGUCGGUGAUGCUGGCAUAGGCUUCGGCUUCAACCCACUUGGUGAAGUAAUCUGUGAGGACUAGGAUGUACUUCUUUUGGCGAGAUGCCGGCAUUGGACCGAUGAUGUCCAUUCCCCAUCGCAUGAAUGGGUAUGGAGCAGUUAGGGUAUGAAGGAACUCCGUUGGGCUGUGUAUGGUGGAAGCGUGACGCUGGCAUUGGUUGCACUUGCGCAUGUAUGUCUCACAGUCGGCGUUCAUGGUUGGCCAGUAGAAUCCGAGAUUCUUUACUUUUAGUGCUAGAGCUCGUCCGCCCGAGUGAUUGCCUGCUGCUCCUUCAUGUGUUUCGGCCAUGACUAGUUUCGUUUCUUCGCCGGAGAUGCAUUUGAGUAGCACCUUCGUCGCGGUCCAUCGGUGUAGUUCCCCGUCCAUGACAACGUAGUGUGCGCUACGUCGCUUCAGUCGCCGCGCGUCCCAUUUCUCGGUGGGCAAUAAACCUUCAGCGAGGUAAUCGAUGAGUUCCUUGCGCCAAUCUGUUGGCUGAUCAUCUUGCGAAGGAGGUUCUGCUUCGUCGAUGUCCAUCACUUCGCUAAUCGCUGCUGCAAUCGCAGUCUACUCUGCCUUCGUGUCGAUGCUCGGUUUCUCGAUUUUAUGGAUUGGGAUUGUCCUCUUGACUUGAUCGUGUAGCUUGCUUCCUAGAGCAGCGAGGGCGUCGGCACAAACAUUUUCUCCACGAGGAACCUUCGUGGGUUCGAAGAACUCGAAGUCUCGCGUGAGGUCUUGGACGAGUUUGAGGUAGGCGUCCAUCCUUUCGUUGCGGACGUCGUAAUCGCCGAGGUACUGGCUUACGACAAGUUGAGAGUCGCAGUAAGCGAUGAUUCUUUUGGCUUUCGCUGCCUUGGCGAGACGGAGCCCUGUGAUGAGGGAUUCGUACUCAGCUUCGUUGUUUGACGCCGCAAAACCAAAACUGAAUGACUGCCGGAUGAGUUCUCCUGUUGGUGAUUGCAGUUGCACUCCUGCUCCCGACCCUUUACUCGUGGAUGAACCGUCGACGUGUAGGAUCCAGUUUACACUUGGUAGGAUAAGGUCUUGCUCCAGCUCUGGUGUUAACUCGAUCAAGAAGUCAGCAAGGACCUGUGACUUUGCUGCUGUGCGAUUCUUGUACACGAUGUCAUGUUCGCUCAGUUCCAUCGCCCAUUUUGUCAACCGUCCUGACUGGUUAGUAUUCUGCAUAACCGUUCAGAGUGGUUGGUUGGACAGUACUUCAAUCGUGUGCGACUGAAAGUAGGGUCGCAAUUUCCUGGCCGAGGUGACAACAGCUAAGGCCAUCUUUUCAAGUGUUGGGUUUCUCGUCUCCGGCUCGGUCAUUCUUUUACUGGUGUAAAAGAUUGGUUUCUGUUCUCCUGGACCUUCUCGAAUGAGCACGCUGCUGACGGCGGAGGAUGUGACGGCUAUGUAGAGAGACAAUGUGUUGCCGGCUUCUGGCUUCGAUAGUACUGGGGGGGUUGUGAGGUAAUGCUUGAGUUGAUUGAACGCCUCCUCGCACUUUUCAUCCCAGACGAACCUCUUAUUGCCCCUUAGUAGCUCGUAGAAGGGAAGACACUUAUCGGUUGAUCGCGAGAUGAACCUGUUGAGAGCUGCUAUGCGUCCGGUUAGUCGCUGUACUUCGCGGCUGUUCUUUGGGCUUGGAAGGUCGAGGAUCGCCGAGAUCUGCUUGGGGUUAGCCUCGAUUCCUCGUUGAGUGACUAUGUAGCCGAGGAAUUCUCCCGAAGUGACACCGAAGGUACACUUGGCCGGGUUGAGCUUCAUCCCAUAGUCGUUCAAGAUCUUGAAGCAGUCGCGUAAGUUGUUUAGGUGAUCGUCGACCUUGAGCGAUUUGACUAACAUAUCGUCGAUGUACACUUCCAUGGUGUUGCCAAGCUGAUCAGCGAACAUUCGGUUGACGAGUCGCUGAUAAGUUGCGCCGGCGUUCUUUAGCCCGAAGGGCAUCACCUUGUAGCAGUAGGUCCCUCUGUCGGUGAUGAAUGCUGUCUUCUCGCGAUCGUCGGGAUGCAUCAAGAUCUGGUUGUAUCCCGAGAAAGCGUCCAUGAAGGUUAGGAGUUCGUUACCAGCAGUUGAUUCGACGAGACGAUCGAUAUGAGGGAGUGGGUAACUGUCCUUUGGGCACGCCUUGUUGAGGUCUGUGAAGUCGACGCAUAUGCGCCAUUUGCCAUUUUUCUUUUUGACGACAACCGGGUUAGCCAACCAUUCGGGGUAUCGGACUUCGGUAAUGAAUCCCGCAUCGAGGAGCCUGUCGACUUCUUCGUUUACGGCUUUAGAUCGUUCUGGACCGAGUUUUCGUCGCUUCUGUCGGAUGGGUUUGAACGUCGGUCAACGUGCAGUUCAUGGGAGGUAACUGCAGGGUCGAUCCCCGUCAUGUCGGAAGUCUUCCAGGCGAACGUCGAGGCGUUGUCUUUGAUGAAAGAGAUGAUCCUUGAACAUAUGUCGUCGGACAGGUAGACGCCAACUCGGAUGACUUUCGUUGGGUCGGACUCAUCAAUUGCGAUUUCGCGAACUUCCUCCUUUUGGGGGUAUAUCUUGUGGAGUGGUUUACUGACGGAGUUGACAAGGGAAGCUUGUUGCUGCUUCUUUACAGUUGCGAUCAGUAGUUCUCUCGCGGCUUGUUGAUCUCCCCGAAUCGUUUGUGUUUUGCCAUUUUUUCCGGGAAACUUGACGCAUUGAUGAUAAGUCGAAGGAACGACGUUCAUGGAAUGCAGCCAUGGUGUUCCGAGUAUGGCAUUAUAGGGUGCUUUGGCGCGGAUGACAGAGAACUUGACGGUGCGGGUUAUACCACCUGCGUAUAUUGGAAGACGAAUUGUCCCGAUCAUUUGCUCUGAGGCUCCGUUGAAGCCGGUGAGAGUACGAGAGGAAGGCUUCAUAUCCCUUAAAUCAACUCCCAUUUUGUCGAGUGUGUCGCGAAAGAUGAGAUCGACUGAGCUGCCGGUAUCAAUAAGGACUUUUGCGACUAGGCAUUCAUCGAUGUCAAGGUCGACGAGGAGAGGAUCGUUAUGUGGCAUGUGGACGCCCUUGGUGUCCAGUGCCGAAAAAGUGAUCUGGUGAUCAUUUUCGACUGGAGAAGGCCACUUCUUAGAGGUGGUUGCUUGACGUUUGUAAUUUUUGACGGCUCGAACCGAGUCACCGCAAGGUGGUGAUCUGCCCAUUAUUACGCUAAUGUGCGGGGCUCGGGUAGCUUGCAUUGAUUCGAGUUGCUUCCUCAAAUCGUCAGUUGUGUUCUCGAAUUGAGGAGUUUUUGAUUCGAGACGUCGUCGCAGAUCGGACCCUUUCGAACGGUUGAGUUGGAUUCGCAGGUCGUCGGCCUUCGAAUUGAGCUGGUCAUGAAGGUCGCCAGUUUGACCGACUCUCCGGGCGUUGCAUUUUGAGAUGGUCGCACGGAGGUCGGCGGUUCCUAUUUUUUUGCUCGUGGCGCUCUUUCUCUUCAAUAGAAUGCGCAGGUCUUUAUCUGUUGUCGAGGGAGCGAGAGACUGCUUAUCCUUGCUGUCCAAUUUAUCGCGCGGAUAUGGUUGCAAUGUCGGGACGUCAUCAUCAGAGGAGUCACAAGGGCGAGAGAGUAUGACUUCCACUCGUCGCCGGCGACGCGGGUGUUCGUCUUCUGAUGAAUCGUUGGCAGGGCCGACGUUGUUGACGGGAGUGCGCUCAGGGCUUGCUCUUUCCUCGCUCGGGCCCGUGUUCUUUUGAGACUUCUGUGCCUUCUUCUUCUUGUUCUUACUCCAGCUUUUAGUGUUUUUCGGUGUCGUAGGAGAGGUGGGCAUUUGGAUUGUCCCAUUAGUGAUCCCUUCGAAAAACUGCCCGAUGAGGACCUUGCAUUCCUUCGUGUCAUGAGAAUCCCUUUUGUGGUAGAGGCACCAUUUUUUUGGCUCCUCGGAGUUUGAACUCGCUGGUUCGGAUGAGCUUAACUGCUUCGGAGCGGAGUCUCGAUCCCAGUGGUUCCAGCCUUUCUCUUGCGUGAUGGCUGCUGAUUUUGGAGAUUCCUCAUCACUGACCGAGCUAACGUAGCCUCGCUUCUGAGUGGUAUUUCCACCAGAGGAGUGCUGGCGGGGCUCGGGGCGGGUGUCGUUUGUUCGGGAGGGUCGCUGUUUCGCUGCUGCUUCUUUUGCGAACUUUGCUCUGGUGUCUUCUUCCAUGCGGAUAAAGUUAUGCGAGCGAGCGAUGGCGUCGGAGAUAGAUUUUGUCGGGUAUCGGUAGAGAUCCUGACGGAAUGUGGAGUCGACGUGCAAGGUGUUCAUCAAAGAUUCGACGGCGAUAUGGUCGGGAAUAUCAAUCUUCGAGACAAUAGCUUUGAAUUUCUCCAUGAAGUCGCGUAGACUUUGGUCGCUGGCGUGGGUGAGGUUCCACAAAUCUGACACGGUCGCUUCCUGGUUGGUGAACAUGAGAUAAUUCUUAAGGAAAGCCGUUGAGAGGUCGUGGAAACAGUCGACGGAGUUUUCUCUGAGGCCCUUGGUGUACCAAGUAAGGGCCCGGUCCUUAUAGGGUUUCGACGAAGAGUUGGCAAAAGCCGGCGUCUUUGUCUUCGUCGGUCAGGUUUGCGCGUCGCAUCGCUAUGUUAAAAGACGUGACGUGAGUAGAAGGGUCAGAGAGACCUUUGAAGGUUGGAAGACGGAUUUUUUCCAUCUUCUGGAGCCGCACGCCGGUAACCUUUUGCAUGAAGGGUGUACGAAGAUAUUCCGCGAGUACAUGCUCGAUUUGGGGCGCGGACGUCAUCACCUGGUGGAUCUUCGAAUUGAUGUCGAGGACCGACUGUUUUAACGCGGCUAGUUCGCUUGCGGUGUGCGCGUUGAUGUCGUUACCGGGGCUUUGGUUAUCGUUAUCCCGCGUAGGUGCUACGUCGGUGGUUCGUUCUGUGGCGAACAGGUGUCGACGAUACUGCGCCGUUGAAGCUUCGGCGUUUGCAGCGAUAGGAGCAAGGAUCUUUGCUAAUGCCGUGAUUUGGUCAACUGACGCCUUCUGCGCCGCUUCUUGUAGGGCGAGGCGUGCCAGGAUAGUUUCCAUAGACGCAGAGGGGGGAGUGGAGUUACUGGUGUAGGCGUAGGUGUCACCUCUGGAGCCCGCGUCACCUCGAGAGCUUCGCGCUCCUCGCCUGACGAAGAACUGUCGUUGCUAACGACCAUAGUGCUGAUGUUACUUUGCUAGCGAUCCCACGGUGGGCGCCAACUGUUUGAUCGGAAAACGGUAAUAAAGAAGAUGUGGGUUUAACAAAGACAUCUUAUUUAUGGUCGGGGCGAACGUUCAGUCGGUUACAAGAGAAACGAAGAGAAUGCAGCAGAGACGAAGCCGGUGGCUCGAUGAGCUACCGGAAAGGUACAACUAACGGCGAGAUGAAGUAAAGGUGAAAACCCUAAUCUAGCCGCCAAGUGUUAGUCAAUGAUCUCGGAUCUCCCUCUUGUUGUUUCCCCUUUCCCUUAUAUAGACGUCCUGAUGUUUCGUCCUUGACCUAAUUUACGUCAUCUCGGUGGGCCUCCUUUGCUGGGCCGAGAAGCCCAUAGACGUCCGAGCAGCCGCUGAGGCGAACAUACUUCAGUCGAUGAUGAUCGACUAAAAGUACUCAAGAGUCAAGCCGAGAGACCUAACUCUUGAGCCGACCGAUCGAGCCGUCGCUCUACCUAGUCCGGGCCAGACCUUUCUAUUCUUCGGGCCUUGUGGGGUGGUCAAAUCCAUCCUCUACAACGAGGCUUCAGCUAAUCGUAGCCGUUGGUUACAGCGGGAAGUACGAUGUUCUACAAGCGUGUAGAGGCAUUGCGCAGAGAGUGAAAGACGGUGAGAUCGAUGUUGAGGAGAUAGACGAGAUACUGAUCGAGCAAGAGCUUGAGACGAACGUUACUGAGUUUCCUUACCCGGAUCUGCUGAUAAGAACAAGUGGUGAGCUAAGAGUGAGUAACUUCUUGUUGUGGCAAUUGGCUUACACUGAGCUCUUCUUUGCUCAAGAACUCUGGCCUGAUUUUGGGAGGAACGGUUUUGUUGAAGCCUUGAUGUCGUUUCAGCAGAGACAGCGGCGCUUCAGUGGUCGAAAAUCAUGAGUUUCUUUUUCAUUGGUGUAAUAAAAACUGUAUAUGAUGUGUAAUAAUGGACGUUUUAUACCUCAAGAACUAGACCUUUUGAGAUAUUCCA
rnacentral:lncRNA from 1 species